rnacentral:lncRNA from 1 species
CUACAGUCCGACUACGGUGCUCUUAAAAGCGUCAAGCAUUUAGUAUUUAUAAAUUUUUCACCGUUAAAUUUUACUUCUUUAAUUACGUUAUUCCACUUACCAUUCACUCAGGAUCAUUAUCAUCCUAACCGUAUAUUUCUUAAUUUAAAGACCGAAAUCCUUAAUUAUGUUAUUCCACUAACCAUUCACUCAACUCUAGAGGAUCAUUAUCAUCCUAACCGUAUAUUUCUUAAUCUAAGGACCGAAAACCUACAAGUAUUGUUACUUUUAAAAAUAUAGGAGCUCAAUUCGUGCGGACUAUACUGUUGGCUAUUUAUUAUUAGUUAAAAAUAAGUCCAACUUUCUAUUCCGUAAUAAUACAUCAAGAAAACUAGUAAAUUGAGUGGGACUGUGGUCUACAAUUAAUCUAACAAUAAUAGAGCUAAAAAUAAACCUAACGUUCAGAUGAAUUGAGUGGAGUCAAAGUUCGAAAGUGCUGUGGUGAAGUUAUUAAACGUGAUGGAUUCGUUGUUUCUGUCGAUAUGUAUUUUUAGAAUAGUUGGUUAGCAUUUAUUAUCCACAUAUACGAAUUUUAAAUCUAAUUUUUUAAUUUAUUUCAUUUAAAUUAUUUGAUGACUCACAGGAUAUAAAAUUUAAGUUACUUAUUAUCUACUUUAAUGAAUUUGCGGUUAUAAAUAUACCAACUAAACUCGUGAAGAUAAAGGGUGCAUACAAAUUUGAAGUUAAAAAAUUACUAAUUAGCUCAAAUCAAGUAAAUUAAAAAUUAGAUAAUAAAAUUAAAUUUUUUAAAAAACUAGAUAGCUCAAUCAAAAUAGAUUAUAGUUUUUUUUUUUUUUUUUUUGAGAAAGAUAAGUAGCACGCUACCCGCUUCAUUUAUUUCAUUUCGAAAUAAAUUUAGCUGGAAAUGUGAAUCAACUAGGAUUCGAACUUGGGUGUCGGAUACCAACCACCAAGUCUUUUGUCACUUACUCUAAAGACAGUCGGUAAAAUAGAUUAUAGUUAAGAUGUGUUUUCCACAUUUUUACCCUUUUUUUACUCCUCCCCUAAGUCAACACCCAUAGCAGAGACUUUGAUACAUUCAUCAGGAUUCUACUGGACUUUUUGUUUUUUUUCUUUUUAUGAAUGCCCUUAUCCUAAAAAUUUUUCUUGAACUAGUCACAAAUUUUAUUUUAAUUUUUUAAAAGGGUGCUAAGUUACCCCCAACCUUAUUGUAUUACCAAUCAAUUGCAUUAGACAAUAGCAUAAUGUAUCAUUUAACAUCCUGGUUUGAUAUAAUAUCAGUGCUACAUCAUAGUAAUAUUUUUUUUAAAAAAAAAAAUUAUUAUAGUUGUUGUUAUUUAUUAGUCAUCUUGGUUGAAAUAUAUAUUUAUUGCUACAUACAUGGUCCAAGCAACUUAAUAUAACCAGGCGAUAACUACUAUAGUUGUCUUUUACUUCUUUCAUGUUUUUUUUUAAUUUCUUUUCAAGUUCAUCUCUUAAUUUCUAGUCUUUUUUUAGACACCAUUAUGCACUUUAAUUAACAGAAAUGUAGCUAUAUAUGCUUUAAUAUUCAAAAGCUUUUUGACCUUUUAGCAGGAUGAUUAAGACUAGAUAUUAGACUAAUGAAUAAUAAAGGUUUGAAAUUAACAUAUAGGCAAUACAUUUAGAAACACCAUGCCAAAGAUUUUAAAAAAUAAUCCUUUAUAGCCUACUAACCCAUUAAAAAAAAGAAAAAGAAAAAAGAGAGAGAGAGAGAGAAUUUGACACGGUCGACCGAUCGACGAUUUGGAUGUCCGAAGACUUCUGAACUCAGUGCAUGGUAUAUGUCUCAAUAAAAAAUAAAAAAACUUUAAAAACUCUCCCUGUGGUUUCGCACUUUUUCAUUUUAGUAUCCUAUGAUUUAAAGUGUAUCAAGUUAGUACCAUAUGAUUUCGCACUUUCUCACUUUAGUACCCUGUGGUUUAAAAUGUAUCAAGUUAGUACUCUGUGAUUUUAUUUUUGUAUCAAAUUAGUACCAUGUGAUUUUAUUUUUGUAUCAAGUUAGUACCCUGUGGUUUUAUUUUUCUCUUAAUGAAAUAUUAAACCACUGAGUACUAAAGUGAAAAAGUGCGAAACCACAGCGUACUAACUUGAUACACUUUAAACCACAGAUACUAAAGUGAGAAAAUGCGAAACCACAGGGUACUAGCUUGAUACACUUUAAACCACAGGGUACUAAAGUGAGAAAAUGCGAAACCACAGGGUACUAAAUUGAUACACUUUAAACCACAGGGUACUAAAGUGAGAAAGAGUGAAACCACAAGUGGCGUGUUUGAAGUUUUUCCAUAAAAAAAUUUCAGUAUAUACUAAUACACAUAUUGACAUAUAUGCAUUAAUUAAGUAAUUGCAUUGACCCAAUUUCUAAGCUCUCAGUAAAGUACCAUGUAGUUUCCACAAGUAAACACCUACUUCUAUAACACUUGGCCAGUUGGGAACUGGAUGAACCGUCUAUCAUGCGCUAUCAAUACAGAUGCGCAUAUAGAGCUAGAAAUCUACUCUCUGGCCAAUUCAAGGACCAUUUCGACCUCCUCUUCACGGCUUCAUGCUGGGAAUUAUGGAAUGAACGAAAAAAGAGACUAUUCGAAGAUCAACUCAAGCAGCCUACCUUCCGGAGCCAAAACAUUCUCUGCACGGUGCGAUCAUGGAAAGCCGCACUCGGGGACAUGGACAGCAUCUAGGAGUGUGCGCUUUUUGGGGUUUUUUGGGGCUUUGAUUUUGGUUUUUGGUUUUUGGUUUUUUUUGGUUUCUGGGUUCCUGCUCCUAGAUCUUGAUUGCGAUCAACCCAUGCUGUUCUUGCCGUUCUGUUUUUUCGCCUUACUAGACUGCUCAUAUACUCUCUGUUCUGACUUUGUUAAAAUAGGGUAUACCCCUGUUUAAUCAAAAAAAAAAAAAUACAGAUGCGCAAAAAUAGAUAAUGUUGGGAAAUACGAAUGAAGAUCAAGUAAAUUAUGAUCUUGAGGCGCAUAAGUUCACUUUCUUUAAGAUGAAAUUUGUCCUCACUCGAAUGUAUACUGCCGAGUUACCAGCAAAUCGCCUCCAAAAUACAAUAAGACCACCGAAAGAUUGCAAAUAGCACAUUUGAAGACUUUUCUUUAAGAACUUUUAUUUUAAGAAUCAAUAUGAAAAAUUAGGAAGGAGAAAUGAUUGAUUAUGUUACCCUUGAAGCCUUCAAACAUUUCUUAUUUAUAGGAGGUGAAUGAUUACGCUGAAAGGACACAACUGUUAAAAUUAUAUUCUUUCAUAAAAGGACACGUUAUUUCACAAAUAACGAAAAGAUAUAUUCUUUCACAAAAGAUUUAUCUCUCUGUGAAGAAACAUAUUUCUUCGUAAAAAGAUAUAUCUUUACAUCAAAUGAAAAGACAAAUCUUUUUAUAAGAAUAACCACUUUAUGAAGAGAUACAAUUAUUUCUAUAGCACAUACCCUCUAAUACAUUAGAUUAAAAUUUUGAGAUUAAAGUAAAUCCACAAUUUGAAAACCGAGAGUGUUAUACAUACGUCUAGCCUUGAGUAUGUACAAUUUUGGAGAAAAUAUUACUUGUACAAAGGCGGAUACUUACAAUCUGUAUGUACACCUUAUCGUAGGUGGUACAUCUCACACUUCAUUAUCUCAUUAGAGUUUAAUUCUUUAAAAAAAAUAUAUUUAGUAUUAAAAGAAAUAGUUAUAAGACAGAUGAAUAAAUAUGGGCUACUGACCAGUAGCAAUUAAAUUGGUAGAUUGGUUACAUUAAAUAUUGAUUUAACUUGUGCAACAGGCCUAUUCUUUUCUUUUCUAAUGCUAUAAAAUCGUGUCCUACGCCAUUUCUUAGAGGGUGUUUAGCCUAACUUUUAAAAAACGCUUUUGGGUUGAAAAGUGAUUUUCGGCUCAAUAGAGCGUUUGACAAACUCACUUUUAAAAUCUGAUUCUGCUUUUUAGAAUCAGAAAACUAAUUUUGAAGGCCCCAGAAUCAGAAAACUAAAAUUUUAAAAUUUUAAAAUUUUAAUUUUAAUUCUAAUUUAAAUUUAGAUUUUAAAUUAUUUUAAAAUAAAAUUUAAUAAAAAUAUUAAUUUACGCAAACAUCAAAAAAAUUUUACCAAAUAACUUUUCAAAAUCACUUUUAUCUAAACUCAGCCCAACGCUCUACAGUUUUUAACCAAAAUCACUUCUCCCAACCAAAAUCACUUUUUCAGAAAUCACAUUUUCAGAAGAUAGGCCAAACGGGCCCUUAAUCUUGUUCUGACAGUGUCGAAACUUAAAUAUUUAUUUUUUUAUUUUUAUUUUUAUUUUUUUAUUUUUAUUUUAUUUCAUUUUUUGAUUUUUUUUUUGUUAAUAUGGUUCAGAGGUAGGGGUGGAAACGAGCCGAGAUCGAGCGAGCUAACCUCAUCUCAAGCUUGGCUUGAAAUUAAUUUCGAGCCUAAAUUUAGGCUCAAGCUCGGCUUGAAAUUAAUUCGAGCCGAGCUUGAGCAAACCUAAUUAACUUCGAGUCGAGCGAGCUCGAGCCCUAAACGAGCCGCUUGAAAUUCUUAACAUUGUACAAUCUAUUGUUUAAUUUUUAAAAAACAUUAUCUAAAAUUUGAUACAAAAAAUAUCUAAUAGUUCAACAUAUAAAAUGAAUGCAUGAAAUACGAUAUUAUAAUAUUAAAAAAAUUACGGAAAGCGACUAUGUGAGCAAGCGAAAAAAAAGAGAGCAAUUAGAGUAGAAUUUUGCUAGUUUGGUUUUGUGGGCCCAAUAAUCUAAAUUCUACAUACAUAUAUAAACUACAUAACAUAUAUUAUUUUACAUAAUUAAAAUAUAUUUUAUAUAUAAUUAUAUAAUAUAUAGAGUUCCGCUAUUAUACUCUUUUGAGUAUAGACCCUUUUAUACUCAUAAAUUUUCAACCGUUAAAUCCAUCAUUUAUUCUUUUAUUAAAUCAUACUAUUCAACCAACCACCUAUUAAAUCUUAGGGAACACUAUCAUUCUAAUCGUACAUCCAACGAUUAAAAAUUUAAAAGGAUAAAAGGGUCUAUACUAAUGAGAGUAUAGUAGCCCUAACAUAUAUAUAUAUAUAUAUAUAUAUAUAUAUAUAUANCAAAUUUUACUACGGAUAUAUCCCAGCAUGGUUUACUUCCCAUAGAAUUUGAAAAAAAUAUUUCGGAGUUUAAGUGAUGAAAGUCGUGUAUGGGCUAACAAUUGCCCACCCUAAAAUGUGUAGUUUUUAUAAGGAGAUAUAUAUAUAUAUAGUCCGACUGGGAUACUAUCAAUAGCACGAGGCAUUUGGUGGUAUUAAAUUUUUUGCCGUUAGAUUUAUCCCUUUUAUCAUUUUUAACCGUUCGAUUAUACUAUCAACUAACCACCCCACUCAACCCUAUGAGGUACACAUCAUCUUAACCACAUAUCUUUUAAUUCGAAAGUAGAAAACUUAAUAGCACCAAGUCAUUGGUGCUAUUAAUAGUAUUCUAGCCUAGCGCUCUCUCUCUCUCUCUCUCUCUCUCUCUCUCUCUCUAUAUAUAUAUACCAUAUUAUAUAUAUAUAAAAUUAGUUUACUAUACUAUUAGGGCUCGUUUGGUUCGAAGUCGGAAUCGAAAUCGGAAUCAAAAUAAGCUGGAAUCGAAAUCGGAAUCGGAAUGACUCAUUACCUAAUUCUGUUUGGUUCAUCACCUGAAUCGGAAUCGGAAUAAAUCAUUCCCAUUGUCGGUGUUUAAUUCAGAUAAAUAUAAAAAACGUAAUCAAAUUAAUAUAUUAAUUUUAUCUUUAUAAUAUAUUAAUUUAAAUUCAAAUUAAAAAUUAAAUAUUAAAAAUUUACAUAAAACUUUUAAAUCUAUUUUUUUAAAAAAAUUAAACUUUGAAGUUGAGUGGAUAAUUCAAAAUAUAAAACUAAAUUUCGAUUUAUUCAAAUUCAAAUUUAAAAUUAUAAUUUAAAUUUUAAUUUGAAUCCAUAAAUUUAAUUUAACUUUUAAAUAAAAUUUGAAUAAAACUUUAUAUAAAUUUAAAUUUAAUUUAAAUUCAAAUUCAUAAGUUAUAUUCGAAAUACUUGAUUAAAUUUUAAUUUUUAAUUCAAGUUCUAAUUAAAUUUUAAAAUUUAAAAUUUAAAAUUUAAUUUCUAAAUUUAAACUCAUAUUUUAAUUAAAAAAUUUGAAAAAAUAAAUUUAAUCCAAAUAAAUAUAAAUUCUAUCCGGAUUCAACUUCCAAUCCGGCCUCUUAGGCCGGAUUGGAAAAAGAGGUGAUUGGGGGAUUUUCAUUCCACUCGGGAAUCGAAAUCGGAAUGGGACUCCCGCGUACCAAAUAUCCACAAACGGAUUCACCCAUUCGGAUUCUUAUUCCAGGGUAAAAGAGAAGUGAACCAAACACGCUCUUAAAAUACCAACCACUUGCUAUUAGGUUUUCGGCUCUUAGGUGAAGGGAUGUGUGGUUAGAAUGACAGUGAUCUCUUAGGAUUGAGUGUUUGGUUAGUUUAAUAGUUUGAUCUAAUGGAUGGAAAUGGUUAAAGGGAUAGAUCUAAACGCAUAAAAUUUGAUAGCACAAAGCAUUUGGUAUUAUUGAUAGUAUAGUAGCCGGACUUUUUCUAUACUAUCUAUACUAUCGAUAGUAUCAAACGCUUUGUGCUAUCGAGUCUCUUAGGGUUGAGUAGUUCUCACUAGGUUAUAAUAUUUAAUCCAAUAGUUAAAAAUGAUGAAAAAAUUGAUCCAAUAGCUAAAAACUUGAUAGCAAAAAAGAUCUUGUGCUAUCAAUAGUAUUCUAGUCCAACUCUCUCUCUCUCUCUCUCUCUCUCUCUCUAUAUAUAUAUAUAGCUUUUCGAGCCUAAUUCGAGCGAGCCCAGUAAUACUCAAGCUCGGCUUGAAAUUAAUUCGCGCUGAGCUCGAGCGAGCUGAAUAUCGAGCCGAACGCGAGUGGAACACGAGCCGGCUCGCUCAGUUGCCUGCCCUAUUCGGAGGUCCCUCUACCUCACCUUCGUAUUUUAAUUCAUUUUUUGAGAGAUAGGUAGCACGCUACCCGCUUCGUUUAUUUCAUUUAGAAAUAAACUUAGCUGGAAAUGUGAAUCAACUAGGAUUCGAACUUGGGACCUCGAAUAUCAACGACCAAGCCCUUCGCCACUUGUUCUAGUAACAGUUGGUUUUAUAGGCUAUUGUUAAGCUUGUGGUUGGUUAUAUAUUCUUAGACUGAAACAAACUUUGUGUCUCCUAGCAUAGCAGAUGCAAUUUUUAUUAGGAAUGGACCAUGUCAUGACUACACUUCUAAGUCUUUAGACUAUAUUAUAUGAACAAUCCCUUGUACUUAGCUUAAACAUAAUUUUUGAUAAUUCGAUAAUAUUUGGUAAGUCUUUUUUUUUUUUUUUUUUUUUUUUUUUCAUAGUUCCUUUAUUGCGCAUAAUCCGAUAAUGUUUGGUUUCAAUAACUCAAUAAAAUUUUUAAACAGUUAGUUGAAUGUAAGCUGCAAUUUCAAAAAGUUUGUUUUAAAAUUAAGCAUGCAUACUGUGCUGCAAAUCGAGCUUCAUUGGAAAGAGGUAAUAACAAGUGCAGUUUCAAAAUCAUGCAUUCUAAACAAAGGACAUUGAUAACAAGACACAAAUUAUUGUCACAACAUUAACAUACCUUGAAACACAGAGCACACUUGUCAAACAACACACUUGUUACCUGCUAUUUAAUCAAUCCAUCAUUUUUCUCUCAGUAGCAGCAUACUUUCAACUGAUCACGCAUUGCAUAACAGAGCUCAGAAAAAAGCACAUGAUACAAAGGACUACAUUGUAAUCGCAGAUUGCGACGGCGAAGGAUCGGGAGGCGUAGGUACUUCGACAGCUCCUUCUAGCAUCUGCACGACUUCUCGCAUCGAGGGCCUUAGCGACGGAUCUUCUUGGAUCCACCAAAUGGCCACCGUCGCGAACCUUUCCGCUCUGCUCAUGUCCGCCGUAGCCUCGCCGUCGUUUUCUACUAGCAGGCUCAACAUGUCCUCCGCAAAGCAGUCGUAAGCCCAGUACGCGAGCACCGCCUCGUCCUCGUCCCUCUCUAGUUCGAUGUUUCUUCUGCAGCAAAUGAUCUCCAGCAACACGACUCCGAAGCUGUACACGUCCACCUUCGCCGUGACCACCCUGUUUCUGAACCACUCCGGCGCGACGUACCCUCUGGUCCCCCUGAUGCCGGUGUCUGUUCGAGUUUGACCGUCCAUCAGAAGCUUCGCGAGGCCAAAGUCCGAAAUCCUCGCGGUGAGACUAUCGUCCAGCAGAAUGUUCUGAGGCUUUAUGUCGCAGUGGAUUAUCUGCGCUUCGCAUUCCUCGUGCAAGUAUAGGAGGCCUUUCGCAACGCCUAACGCAAUUUGCACUCGCCGCGACCAACUGGGUCUCUCCGUCCUGAACAAAUAGUCCGUCAACGGUCCGUUGCUCAUGUACUCGUAGACCAGUAGCCGAUGCGUCCCCUCGUUGCAGAAUCCGAAUAAUCCGACCAAAUUUUUAUGGUAAGUUCGGCCGAUCGACGUGACCUCAUUCGUGAACUCUUUCUCCGGUUCGCGGAGCCGCUCGUGCAGCAUCUUCACCGCCACGCGCGUCUCGGACUCUAAUGCCAGCACCCCCUUGUAGACCGCACCGAAGGAUCCGCUGCCCAAUUGUUCGCGAAAGUUAUCCGUGGCUUCUUCGAGCUCUCUGUAAGAGAAAGCUCUGAGAUGUAGCCCCGACAAAGCCGGGUCGGGCGCGAGCUUCUGCUUCCGUCUGCAGCAGAAGUGGCACAGCGCGACCGCGAUGCCGGCGACAAGCACUGUAUUGAGGAGCGCCGAGACACCGAGGAUCAAGGAUCCGACUAGCACGGCCGUUCUUCGGUCCCUCCUCUCUUCGAUCACUUUCGUACGGUUCUGAUUCGAGCGUCGGCGGGCGGAGUUAUCUUUCGGCACUUUGAUCAGGGUCUUCCCUCCGACGUCGGUUCCUUCCCGACCGUUGGACACGGGCAUCUUCUUCUUCCAGCAGCUCCCGUCUCGGAAGAUGGCCACGUAGCAGAAGCAGUCGCGCAAGCAAUACUCCUUGCACCGGUCGUCAUCGGUCGGACUGUAGAGCUCGUAGUCCCCGUAGGGGAAGUCGCUCGUGAUCAGCUCGGCGAGAUCGAACAGCGCAGACUCGUCCCUCCCGCAGCUCUGCGCGGGGAAGUCGGGAGUGCAGCCCGAGUACUGGUUCUUCGGGUCCACAAACGAGUACUGCGGCGGGCACUUGCAGACGGGCCGCAGGCUCGCGUCGAUCACGCAGAAGCUGUUGAACCCGCAGACGCCGCUCCCCGUCGGCGUGACAGCCUUGCAUAUGUCGGGAGGGAUGCUCUGCACCGCCGUCCAUCGGCUAGGCCAGCUCGAGCUGCUCGCGUCAGGCUUCGGGUAGACAUACUGGCGGAGGGCGCCGUCGGAGUCGAGCGUCAUCCGCUGGUAAAAAUCAUCGGUGGGGAGCUCGACUUGCGGGGGGAAGGAUAUCGUCGACCCGUUCUUGACGUCGAAGUAGAGCAAUCCGGCGGGGUCGAAGACGAGUUGGGUGUCAUUGCCCGCGGUGGCGGUGUGUUCAUACACGUGGUACUCGUACCCGGUGGCGGCAUUGACGGCCAAGAACACGAGGUCGCCGUCCUCGCGGUUGAGGAGCUGGAACCGGCCCUUGGAGUAGUCGGAGUCGGUGAGCCGAGACUGAAGGAACGUGCUUUGGUUCAGCACCUGCGCCGGAACCAUGGUGUCCGUAGGGAACGCGAAGCUCUGCCACAGCACGGCCGAAUCCGCGGCGAAGACGACGAGAUUGCCGGUGUCGAGGAGCGACGCGGACGACACGGCCACGCCAGCUGGCUGCCACACCGGCCGCCCCAUAGCUCCGUUGGUUAGAGCGAAUUGGCCGUCGACUGUUAACACGAGCCGGGCAGCAGGUCCGACAGGACUGUCGCCGUUGGCAGACCAGACGACGGUCUUGGGAUCGGUGCCGGCGAACCAGACGGCGAGGAGGAAGCCGGAGGCGUCGGAGUCAUUCGGCAGAGGGUGGAAGCCGAAGCCGAAGUCGCCGGAGGGGGACGCCACGUAGGAGAGCGGGCCGGCAGGCGUCAGCGUCGUGCCGCGUGUUAUUUCGGUGACGGUCUGGGCCGCGGUCGCCGUUCGAGUUCGAGUUCGGAUUCCGAGGAGGAGGAGGAGGAAAAGAAUCAGAAAGAAGCGGAGGAGGUGGUGCUGAUGCGUGGGAAAUCCAGUAGUUGAUGCCAUUUUUCAUCGGCCUUUUCUCUCUUCUUCUGAUUCAAUCUGCUGCUAUCUUCACAUGACAUAUACUUACAAUAAAAGUUUGACCUUGACCGGCUGCAAUUUUAGAUUAGACUCUGGGGUAAAUGUUCAUCAACUGUAGGUUUAUUAAUGACUCGUUUUUGGUACUAAAGUUGAGACCAAAGAAAUCUAUGAACACUUUUUUUUUUUUGAGCAACAUGAUAUUACAUACCAAUAAAAUGACGAGUUGAUGACUCAAUUCAACCGUUUGCCAUUAAAACCGCUCGAUUCAACCGUUUGAACUACAUAAAUCAAAAAAUUACUUUGAAUCGUUUGAACUAACUAUUCAACCAUCGAACUGGUGAACCUGCUUAGUUUUAAUUAAACAAGUUGGUAUUUUUGAUCACGCAGGUUUUGAUGCAUUUAACCCUUUAAUUCCAAGUCCUCUAGUAUACAAUAGAAUUUUUUUUUUUUUUAGAGAGAUAGGUAGUACGCUGCCCGCUUCGUUUAUUUCAUUUAAAAAUAAACUUAGGUGGAAAUGUGAAUCAACUAGGAUUCGAACUUGGUUCUCGGAUACCAACGACCAAGCCCUUUGCAACUGGCUCUAGGGACGGUCGGUUGGAAUAGAAUAUUAUUAGUUGUGCGGUGUAUAAGACACAUUGUACACAGGGUCCACGCAAUAGUUUUUACCUAGAAGGUCCGGAACUGAAAGCUCGCAUUAAACUGUCGGAGCCUAUUCGCUAUAAAACAUGUUUCGGGUCCGACGUUUUACACUUUUCUCCCCGCUUCGUUUCAAACCCUAACCCCUCCCUCUCCGGUCCCCCUCCCAAAAAUUUGCCCUAAUCCCACCCUCGCGACGCGAAUUCUCCAUCGAAUUCGAAUCCUCGAGCUCGUGAUGCAUCGGUUCUCGCGGUGAUCGCGGAGGAGUGGGCGUAGAAGCGGUGGAUCUCGCGGUCGUGGCGCGAACUGGGGAUUGUUUGUGAACAAGACAUCUCCUUUUUGCGCUUCUUCGAGUUGUUUACGGCGAUUUCGACGGAUUGGGGGAAGAAUUUGCGUAUAAUAUGGCCAUGGAGUAUGAUCCUUCGGAUAGUAGCGGUGAGUGGGUUCGAUCUCUUUCUUUGUCUUCUUUCAAUUAGAUGUUCUUUUUUUACGAUUUUCUGAGCUUAUAGGUCGAUACAUAUGAGGAACUCUCAUCGAAUUUUUGUAUCAGCGUGUUAUUAUGCGUGGGACUUGUUGAAUUAGCAGAUAUUUUAUUUUGGGGGGCAAGCAAUUUGGGGUGAAAACUAGGGUUUCUAGCUUAGUUCUUUGCAUAUUAAGCUUUGGAAGCUAGAGUCUGUAGCUUUGGAUAUUAGGGUUUUGGAAGCUAGAGUCUGUAGCUUUGGAUAUUAGGGUUUUGGAAGCUGGAGUUUUUAGCUUCUUUAUUUUUUUAGCAAAUUAGGGUUUUGGAAACUAGGGUUUGUAGCUUAGUUUCUUGUAAAAUUGGGUUUGGAAACUAGGGUUUGUAGCUUAGUUUCUUGUAAAAUUGGGUUUGGAAACUAGGUUUUGUGGCUUUAGACAGCUUACAGCGUCCUCUUAUUUGAAGGUUGAACUUUUAGUCGUGGGGAGAGUGGAGAGAUUACAAAAGAAAAGCUGGACUAUUUGUAUAAGUUGAUUUUGUCUCUCUUGAGUUAGAAGAACAAGAAAACUAUCGAAGAGUAUAGAAAGUAGGGGGAAAAAAAUGGAGCUGCUAAAACGUUUUCGAAUGGAAUAGGGAUAGGUUGGGAAAAGCAUUAGUAAACUUGUUAUAUUUACUCUGCAGGAACUGAUGAUGAUCUUCCACCAACAUAUCAGAACAGGGCUGCGAGAGGAGGGCGUGUCAGUGGAAAUGGAAGGCCAAUUGUUGCUGCUAGUCCAUAUCCAAGGGUACAAAAUGAUAUGGAAGUCCAAAUACAUCAGCUCGAGCAAGAAGCCUACAGUUCAGUUCUCCGGGCAUUUAAGGCUCAGUCUGAUGCCAUUACUUGGGUAUUCACUUCCUUAAAAUCAUUGACCAAAUAAUUUAUACCUAUCAACUUUUGUUUCUUUUUGCACUUUUCCAGUUGUUAAUAUAAUCCAUCUCACUAAACAAACAUGAAUUUUUCAGGAGAAGGAAAGUCUCAUAACUGAACUAAGAAAGGAACUAAGAGUGUCCGACAAGGAACACAGAGAACUAUUAAGCAGGGUGAAUGCUGAUGACGUUAUUCGAAGAAUAAGGUUUCAUAUUAAGGAACUUAUCUGUGGUACAAGAUCUAUAAAAUUGGGUCUUGAACAGAUUUUUAUUCCAUAUGAUUACUGAAUUCUUUGUUAACAUCAAUAGGGAAUGGAGACAGGCUGGUGGUACUCAAACUGGCCUGGCUAAUAAUCCUCAGCCGAAACAUGAUACCGUACCCAGUCCGUCUGUGUCAGCUUCUCGCAAAAGGCAAAAGACAUCACAAUCUAUACCUUCUCUACCUUUGCCAGCACCAUCUCCUGCAUUGCUUCCACAACCGCUUGCUCCUUCAAUGCAGCCGUCAUCAUCGGCUGCAAAAAAGGGAGCUCCACCAGGACCAAAGGGGAAAAAAACUAAAUCUGUAAGAUGAUUUCAUAUAUGCAUGUGUUUUUCUAAGGUCUCCUCACAUUAUGCAUUUUGUUCCCCCUUCCUUUUUUCCUUAUGUAUAACUCAUUCUUUGAAGGGUCAAAAGUUGCCUGGUGCAGCCUCAACAAAAUCCAUGCAGUAUCCUUCUGCUGGCCCUAGUGUAAGAGGCCAAGUCACAAACAGAAACUCUUCUGGUGCUCUUGCUGCUAUUGAACCCGCUGAAGCACCAUCAUAUGAUCCGCUAGUUGGGCGUAAAGUCAUGACGAGGUGGCCUGAAGAUAAUAGCUUUUAUGAGGCUGUUAUCACCGAUUACAAUCCAGUUGAGGUGUGUUUGGUUACUUAAUGCUCAAUAUCUGCGACUAGAAUUAGGCUUCAGCCACCUCAUCUGUUACUAUUAUUGGCAGGGUCUACAUGCUCUGGUUUAUGACAUAAACACGCAGAAUGAAACAUGGGAAUGGGUCAAUUUAAAAGAGGUGAUUCAACUUCUUUUCUGCAUCAGAUGAUUCAGAUCACUAAAAUCCUUUUAACUUCUGUUUUUCUCUUUUUAUUUAACGGCUUAAGUCCUCCUAUAUCCAUCUUAUGGCAAGUUAAUGUGCCAUUCAUAGCGAAGUGUUUGGUCUUUAUCUUUGGGAAUGACAAUCCUGACAUAAUAGUGAACAAAAAUUGUUAAUGAUCGCUGGAUGGGUCACUAAUGUGAGAACUACUGCUGGUACUGCUAACGACCAUCAGAGCACAAUGGUCUCAUCAAUGUUUUGCUUUGAGCCCUCUCUUUUGCUUCAAAUUUUUAUUAGCUUCACAAAUGAUAUCUCAUGGUCUAUGCUAGUUACCGGUGAUGUUGUCUUGGAAGAUGAGACAUGAUCAGGCAUUCAGACAACUUUACACCAUAGCUGACUUUGUGGGUUUUGUAAUAAGUAACAUUUAUGUGAAAUAGGUAUGAAUGCAAGUUAACUGACUAGAAUUGAUGACUUUUCAAAGAAGAUAGGAGGGCAAGAUAUAGUCGGAGGUGGCCAUGAUUAUGGGAAUGACGUCAUUCACCCUAAGACUGGAGGAAAAGCAACUUAGGGAUAGGGAAAAAUAAGGAAGAUUGUUCCUUGCUCAUAUAAAAAUUGGUAAUAUUAGUGCAUUGAUUGGAAAAGUGAGGCAAUGCAUGGUUGGUGAUACCAAAAGAUGUGAAUGCUGAAAAUGACAUGCUUUUGGUUAGAAGAGAUUUAGCCUUUGAGUAAAGGAGAAUAGUGUUGGAGUUGAUGUUUGAGUUAUGCUGCCAGAGAGAAGUCAGUAUUGUUCUGUUCGAUUUGGAGAUUAGUGUAGAUUAGCAAAAACUCUUAGAUUAGUGUAGACUUUUCCAUAUUGUUGAAACUAAAUUUCACUAGUCUAAAUUUAGUCAAACUAUAUAAAGUUUGACUUGUUGUUUUGACUUCUUUCUCUUAGAAUACAAUUUUCAAAACCUUUGGGAUGAGAUAUCGAAUUUAUUACCGACUGCAAAUGUUGAUAUUGCUUUUCACUAAUAAAAUUGAUUACUAUUGUUUGGAGAUUGUAUGUAGUAAGAACCUUUUUUAGUUCAAUGAUAAACUUGUUCGGAAACAAUCUCUUUCAUUUGGAUGGUUAUUUGUGCUGGUUUGUGACUUUGGAUUGGGUACAGACUUUACACAUGUUGAUAUUUUAAUGCGCACUUCUUGAUAGAUAUAUUCUUGUAAAUAGUUAUAACGACUCGACCCACUAGUAACAAUUCGUUGAGCCCAUACCAUUGGCCCAAUAUGCUUUAGCCCAGUUAUUAAGGUACACGACCUCUUAUGUUCAGACCUAGAAAUCCUUUUCUAUCCGAUGUGGGACUAUUGAGGUGUUAUAAACUCUCUCCAUUUAAAUCCUAACAUCCUUGGCAGGUCCAAACUCAAUCACGUCCGAACUCAAUCACACACAUAAACCAGAAUUAUCAGAUGAUGUGAGAUUCUAGAGGUGUCUCCCGUGGGUUUAAGAGAUGGCUCCUAUCAAACUCGUAAUAUAGCACUUUGUCUUGUAUAGUACUUAACUUUCACACUUUCGGCUGGUAUUCGCCUCGGAUACCAAAUGUAAUGACCUUGCCGCAAGGUCCAAAAUACUUAAGCUCAAUUAUUAUUAUUAAGGUGCGUGGCCUCUUAUAUUCUCGAUUAGAACCCUUUUUCCAUCUGAUGUGGGACUAUUGUGGUGCUACAAUAGUGGAUUCAUAUCCUAAGAGCAGUGAUUGUUUUGGGGAUGACAUAUUGUGAAGACUACCUUGUAAUACCCUGCAUUAGUUUCAUAGGUGUUGGUAGAUAAUGAGAGGCAGAAAGGCUUCUUCUAGUGGUAUAUUAUGUGAGACAAAAAGUAUCUAGUAUCCCUUUUUAAGUGGUGUAUUAUGUGGGACAAAAAGUAUCUAGUAUCCCUUUUCAAGUUAUCUUUCUAAUCUGUGUAGGACCGAUUAUGGGUUCUUGGCAAUCAGGGCUGUGUCUUUAAGAUUGGAAGGAAAAAAAAAAUCCCUCUUCAAUACUUAAUGCAACUACAUCAUGGGAUUUUGUAUUCAAUUUGCAAACUAGCUUAAGAACUUCUGCGAAACUCCUAGAUCAUAAGUAUGCUAGUUUGUGCUAGUGUGUGAAGGUUUACGUAAUUUGUUAUUCCCUUGUUUAAGAAUUUUUGUUGUUGCUCUAGGAAUAUUGUAUGAGUCAUUUUGUAUCAUCCAAUGACUCAUAAUAUCUAACUCCAAAAAUAAUUUUUGAUAGGCGACUAUUGUUCUGAUCAUGAUAUACUGGUUGUGCUGAUCAUCAUGUACUGCUUGUGCUUUGCUUGUUGAACUUUCUUUGACCACAGAUCUCGCCGGAGGACAUAAUGUGGGAUGGUGAGGACCCGGGUAUCAAUCAAUGGCCAGGACGUGGUGGUGCUCGUUCCGGGCGCGGUGGGGUUAAGAAGUCUGGUGGCCGUGGUGGUGCCAUUUCAGGUGCAGGAAGGGGAAGGGGAUCCCUUAAGAAUGCGAGAAAAGAUUUCCCUCCAACUCAAAAUGGCAUUGGCAAGAAGAACCCUGAUGACAUUGAAAUUCUUCACACCGAAACGCUUAUAAAGGAGGUAUGCUUGAUAUAGAAUCUCGAUGGACAUGUCGAACUGAAAAGGGUUAAAGAUUGGUGUAUGAUAUUUCGUGCAAUUUACAAUGUCUAGCAGGUGGAGAGGGUUUUCGGUGCAAGUCAUCCCGAUCCUGUUGAGAUUGAGAGGGCAAAAAAACUGCUAAAGGUAAAAUUUACUUGUCAAAAAAAAAAUCUCGUCUCUAAGGUGUUUUAUCAGAUUGAUCAAGAAACAUAAGAGGCUGUUCUCUUGCAGGAGCAUGAACAAUCAUUGAUUGAUGCAAUUUCUAGGCUCGCUGAUGCUUCGGAUGGAGAAAGUGGUAAAUACUAAUCUUCCUUUCCAUUUACAUCUACAAGUGAUGACCCAGUGACGAUAGAAAGGCACUUUUGUCUGGAUAACAUAUUUUCCUCUAGCUAGUAUAUUUUUUGUUGUAAUUAAUUUUGUAUAGCCUGUAGUGAAAUGAGGAAGUUUUGGAGGAAUUUUGCUGUAAAGUUAUAGUACUUUAAUUUCAAAUGAUUGAUGUGCUAGGAAACAUUCUGGGAACAUCCUUAACCAUUAUGAACAUCUUCUUAAUCAAUGUAAUACAAUUUCAUGAUAAAUUAAUGAUUUUUUUCCCCUUUUCCAAAGUUUCCUCUGACGUUUAUCGUGAUCAGUCAUUUCCUCAUAGUAGGAAAAAUUCUAUAUUAUGUAACAUCCGCAAGCUGACUUUAAAAAAAAAAAAAAGGUAAGAAAGGAAAUAAAAAAAGGAACUCUUCUUUUCUCUCUCUAUCAUUUUGUAAUUCUUCUUGAUCCCUUUCACGAUGCAGACGGUGGGCACCGUUUCUCGCGUGGCCAGUCAAUGGAGCAAAACCGUGGGUGGAGGAACCAACCCUACACCGCAAAUAAGCAUGCAGAAGGUAGGGAAGGCUCCGAUGGCGAUCACAUGGUCGGGGACGGUGCCGCCUCUGACUACCGGCACGACGGCGAUGACGAUGACAUAUAGUUCGCAGCCCCGCCACCGCCGCUGAUUCACUUCACAACCAUCCUCUCUUGUGUAAAAUGCCUUUUGCUGAUAUUUGUCCGCUUUCCCGUCAAGCAAGUGUUUGUAUUUCAUCCCUUAUGUGUAUCUCUCUCUAGGUAUUGAUACAAUUAGGAAGGGUGCCUCUGAUCUAGGGUUAAUCACCAUAUUUGAAAGGAAAGGUUUAGCAGGUCUCUGUAGAAAUCAAUACUGGCAGCUAGAUGACCAUGUAAAUUAUUGUGAAAAUGGCUUCCCCUCUCUUCUUGUUUUCUGUGGUUGUUGUUGCUCAUGUGCAUCUCUAUUUUCUGAGUUUUAGAUUUUUUUUUUUUAUUUUUUUUGGAUUUGGGAAGAGCUUUUCUAAUUCAUGAGAUUGAUUGAUGCUGAUCUUGUUGGCAGGACUGAUGCAUGCUGCAGAGUACACCAGUGUCUUUUGAAAAUGCUGUGAUGAGCUUAGUAUGGAUGAACUGUGGUUUUUUCUUUUUUUUUCCUUUUCUUUUUGUUUUUUGUUGUGGUAAAUAUUUACAGAAAUUACUUGAAUUAUGGAUCAUUUUAAGUUGGCUUUUUGACCUUUCAAAAUUUUAAUUUUACUAUUUAAUCUUUCAAUGUAUUUGAUUUGAGCAAGAUAACGGUAUUUUGAUUUUAAAAUUUAAGUUAUUGUUUAUUUAAAAAAAAAUUUAUAGUUAUGAGAAUUGCAAAAGGAUAGUAAUUAAAUCUGGAAAGAUAAAUGAUUAAUUCAAAUUUAAAGUUAGGAUGUAAUUGAUUGAUUUAAAUUAAAAAAUUUAAUACUAAAAUUAAAAUUUUGAAAAAUUAGAUAAGCAAUUUAAAAUAGCCAAUAAAAUUUUGCCUUUUUUUUUUUUUUCCUGUAUUAUUCCGAAGAAAGACCUUUCUGGACUGACUCAAUGCAAUCAUAAUUUUUGUUUUAAAAAAUGCUAUUGAAUAUUGAAUACGACAUACCUAAGAAAAAGAAAAAAAAAAACAUCCACAGAAGCAGAAGCAGAAGAAGCUGAUUUAAUCUUUCAAUGUGUUUGAUUUGAGCAAGAUAACGGUAUUUUGACUUUAAAAUCUAAGUUAAUUGUUUAUUUUAAAAAAUUUGUAGUCAUGAGAAUUACAAAAGAAUAGUAAUUAAAUUUGGAAAGAUAAAUGAUCGAUUCAAAUUUUAAAGUUAAGAUGUUAUUGAUCGAUUUAAAUUAAAUAAAUUAAAAAAUUUAAUAUUGAAAUUAAAAUUUUUAAAAAUUAGAUAAGUAAUUUAAAAUAGCCAAUAAAAUUUUGUCUUUUUUUUUUCCCCUGUAUUAUUCCUAAGAAAGACCUUUCUGGGCUGACUCAAGGCAAUCAUAACUUUUUGUUUUAACAAAUGUUAUUGAAUAUUACAUGCAACAUACCACCAGAAAAAAAAAAAGAAGAAAAAAAACACCCACACACACAGAAGCAGAAGAAGUUGUAUAUAUAUAGAGUUGAACUAGAAUACUAUCGAUAGUAAAUGAGUCGUUUUACUAUUGAUUUGUUUUCGAUGAUAGAGCUUCCAAAUUGACGAUCGGCUCCGUUAAAUAUGAUCUAAACCAUUUAAACUAGCUAGAAAUCAAAUUUCACGCAGUUUCAAUAUUGUUCUUUUAUCCAUCAAGUGAACAGAAAAAUGAAUGCCUGAAAAUAAAUAUUCUUUAAAAAAUAAUGAUAAGAGUCUUGUAAUCAAGAUCAAGAGUAUAGAUCUUGUUUUAAAUAGUUUAAAGAAUUUUCUAACAAAAAUUCAAUUGAUUUGGAUAUCUUUACGCCGUUAAACGAGAAAACGCCUCUUAUCGACCAUUAAAAUUACAAAUUUUGAAACCCUUUGAUCAUUAGGCAAAUGAUGUCGAAAAGAUUUAAAAUUUGAUUUCUAAACACUUCAAGUGGUAUAGAUCAUGUUCAACGGAGCCGAUUGUCAAUUUGAAAGCUCUAUCAUCGAAAACAAAUAUGUAGUAAAACGACUCGUUUACUAUCGAUAGUAUUCUAGCUCAAUUCUAUAUAUAUAUAUAGAGAGAGAGAGAGGCUACUAUGCUUCUGGAAGCAUGAAGCUUUCUAUGCUUCCAGAUUGUUUUUGAUGUUACGACUUUCGAAUCGUCGAUCGACUCCGUUAAACUAGAUCUAGAGUAUUUGAAGUACCUAGAAAAUAAAUUUUGCAAUUUUUCGAUAUCAUUUGCCUAGUGAAUUAAAGGGCUCAAAAUCAACAGCUGAAAAUAAAAAUCUUACAAAAUGUGAUAAUAUGACAUUAAAAUUUUAGAUUAAAGAUAUUUAUCUUAUUUUAUAUAGUAUAAAAAAUUUUCUGUUAAAAUUUUGCGUGAUUAGGAUAUUUNAUAUAUAUAUAUAUAUAUAUAUAUAUAUAUAUAUAUAUAUAUAUAUAUAUAUAAUUAGGCUGGAAUACUUAAUGAUCCUUUUGCUAUCAAGUUUUUAACCCUUGGAUGAAAAAUUGUAGGGUCAGGAUGAUAUUAGUCGGUUAGAGUUGAGUGGUCCCCCUAGGGUUGAGUGGUUCCCACUGGAUUAUAGUAUUUAAUCCAAUGUGGCGGACCGGGUGCACGCAAUUGGACGUAAUUUUUUUUGCCGCGCGGACUCCAGAUCCCGAGCAACCCCACAAUUAACUGGAUUUAAAUCCACUCCCUCACGUCCAGCCUAUAUAUAUUACUCGGGCCCGUACCUCCCCCAUCCGCGUUCGAGGCUCUUCGGCUCCACCCUCAGGCUAAGCCUCCUCCCUUUCUCCACCGCACAAAACCUAACCCUAACCCUAACCCUAGCUCCAGGGUUUUGUGCCUUCUCCCGCCCCUAUUAGGGUUUUGCCCCCGAAUCUGUUUCCCAUCCUUCUCCUCUCUUCUUCGGACAGAGGCUCCGCGAUUCGGGGAUCUCUAGUCUCCGCCAUGGACGGGGGUCGCAAGAGGGGGAGGCCGGGGGCGGCGAACGGAGGGGGCGUCGGAGCGAAGCGCUCGAGAGGUGAGAAGAAGAAACCCUUAGGGCUUUCUAAUUCUGUCUGUGUUUUUUUAGCUGUUAAUUGUUUUGUAUUCUUGGCGUUUUGACUUUUGAGUGAUGGAUCUGGAUCGAGCUGGUAUGUUUAUUCGGGUAAGGUAGUGUUCUUGUUGUACAAAUUGAUGAGGAUGUGGAGUUUCCUCUUCAAUGAGCCUCCUUUUUUGCUUUUAAUUGGGUUAUAACGAUUUUUUUCAGUUAAUUUCUGGUUUAGAACUGUAGCAGCUUGUUUUCCUGUUAAUUACUUUCUCAUUUAACUUCAUGCUGCUACCGUGUCUGUUAUGUGUAUAGUGAGCAAAUGAUCAAACUACUGGUGAUUAAACCAUUAUUUAUCCAGUUCCGUAGCUUCAAUGAACGCCAUUUUUCAUGCUGGUUUUGACUUUUAAUUGGAAAAUUGCUGGAGAUUCGAAGAGGACUCUAGUUUGAUGGCACAUCCGGAAAUAUCCAGCUAGAACAGACGUGAACUUAAAUAUAUAGAAAAAUGUUCUUUCGCAACUCUAUUAUUCAACGUCUGAAACGAAUCGAUGUGGUCAUCUGACUUAACAAUUUAUUCACUUAUAUAAUGAGUAUAAUUUUCUGUGGAUUUGAGAUUUAAGUUUACUGAUGAAUCGCCAAUAUAUUCGCCUUAAAACUUUUAAAGUAAAUUUUGAAUUAGUAAACUCAGUGCUAGUUAGAACUGAGUACUUUGUGUCAUUUCCAUGAAUACAUUAAUAUAGUGAAUUGUUAUGAAAUUUUACCUUAAAAUUCUGAUAUGAUGUGAUUUAACUUAAUAGGAAAGUGAGUCUAGGGACACUUUCCUCUUGAAAGUUCUCAACUUGUUACAUAUUUUAUUAAAUAGUUUUCAUAUACUAUCUAAGAUUAGCUUAAUCAACAAAUUGUGACUGAGAACGAAUAAUUAAUUUCAUGUAACAGAAAUGGACUCUGGUCUAGGAAGCAAGUUGAAGCCUUGCACCAAGUUUUUCAGGUUCUAAUCUUAACUCACCUAAAACUUACAUCUUAACGGUAAUUUCUAUUUUUUCUGCAAAUCUGCUUUUUAAGUGGUAAAGGCUUUAUCUUCUAGAAGAAUAUAUUUAAUGCUAAUGGGCUAAUUCAACAGGUAUAAAGAUUGUGAUACAGGUUCUUGUUAAAUCAUUUACCAGUGUUGAACAGAGAAAUGUGGAACAUACAAUUGGCUUUAUUAUGAAAUUCGCCAAGCUAUAAGUUACGUCAGAGCAAACAAUUGAAAUUGAUAUGGAAGAUGAUGUCCGAGCCUACUGCUACGUUAAUUCAUAUUAUACCUAGUUGUUCAACAGUAUUAUCUGAGUAGCUUGCAUGUCUUUAUAUAAAUUAUCAAUCUUCUUUCUUUUGCUUUAUUUACCGAUAUUUUUCCUGUAUUUUACGCUUCUCUGAGUAAAUAUUGUAGUUUUCUUGGAUGCCAUUCCAUGCUGAUUAAUUUCUUGCUUCUUUGGUGCAUGAGCUUCUCCCCAGAAUUUCAUUUUUUUGGUUUACAUAUGUCAAUUUGCGUGAGUAGUUUUAGCAAUGGAAUGCCUUUGUAGAGAAUACGUUUCUUUUUGGUUUGCAGCUUUUGAGUUGCUUGUCAACUAGCGGUAGAAUUAUUCUUAGUUAUGUUUUUUUUGUGCUGUGGUAAUGCUAAGUCAAAAUUUUAGCAGAAAAUAUAUUUUAAGAUUAAAGUUACAAGAACUAAGGAAACCACAUCAGUCCAACUUGGGGCCGUGUCUUGUGUUGAGUGAGAUAUAGUUGCUUAACAGGCUUAUUUUCAUUUAUUUAUAUUUGUUUACAUAUGUGGUAGUUUAGUACAGAAGUUGCAGUCGAUACACAAGGGAUCUAUACAACUAGUUUUAACUUUGAACUCUUUUGCGCAAUAGGUUCUUUGGGUGAUUCAAGUGAGAGUUCAAAUUUGUUGAGGCAUUUUGUAUGCAAACAAUUUAGUUUGCCACUUGUAGAUAUCAGAGUUACAGGGAUCAACUUCCUGAAUUUCUCCAAAACAAAAACAAUAAUCAAGUGAAGUAAAAUAGGUCUAUAUAUCUCUGGUCAUGUGGGAAUGGCACCUCUGGUUGCGGGAUCAUCAAUGGUUCGGGUUAGUACCUGGAUAUUAUCACAAGACAGGUCAAUCUGAACGAAACCAUAAUAAUCACAAGAUAGCUGUAUGUGUAAUAAGUAUCCCAUCAAUGACUAUACUGAGGACACUCGCUGCUCCGUCAAUUUAUAAACGUAGCUAGGCAGUCCAUGGCAGUUUGACCCCUAGAAUUUCUAGGUAUCAUGUAUUUAACACAGGCAGCUACAAUAUUCAAUUCAUGAUAGUCAAAAUAAAGAGGAGAUUGCGGUUUGUUGCUAGAAUUUUCAUAAGAAGAUAUAUAAUAGGGAGAAGAUAAGUAAGAAAUACAAAAGGAAACGAAACGAAGAUAAUUGUUUGAGGUUCGCGAGAGGAUCUUUAGAUUAGUCAUCUGGAGAGUGGGUGGUUUGUGGUAACAAUAUGAAUUUAAUGAAGUCUUUUAGUUUGUUAUCUUGCUACCUUUGGUUCUCCUUGAAACUUGUGUGCUGGUUUUGAUACACAUUUUUAGGUUGUUAUCUAGAUUACCUGUCGAGUACUCAGUAUUGUAGAUUGUUUUUAUGAGCCUUUACUUGUCAUAGGCUUUGGUAAUAUUUACUUCUAGAGUCAUCAGCUAUAGUACCCUUGACUGCUUCACUAAAUUACUUGCAGUUGUCUGCAUGCAGGUCUGAUGCUUUAUACAAUUUUAAUUAUAAUAUUGAGUUUUGUCGAAAACAACUUUCAUUUCCUCUCAAAGUAAUGAGAUAUACUUGUUAGCCAAAUUAUAUUUAUUUUGAAGUUUUUUUUUUUUUUAAAAGCUGAUUUCCAUCAAUUUAUGAAAUAAACUGGUAGAGUUUCCAUUUGUUAUACAAACAGAUAAUUAUAAUUGGGGGUGAGAAUUUAGAUCGCUCUAAAAGUAAAAUGUUUUGAUGGCUGAUUGUUGGAGUUUCUUUGAUGUCCUGCAUUUUCUCUUUUUCUCCCACUAGAGCUGGUUUUGUGAGAAACUUUUUAAAUGAGUCUAAGUACACUGUAGUGAAGAAUUUUGCCUAUAAUUUGCCAGGAAAAGAGAAUGGUCUACUAGUCUAAAUUUAUACCGUGUUAGAAAUUUUCAAAGUGCUUGCGUGAUGGUUGUAUGUGUUAUCAUAUAAGCUUCUUUUGGGGCUUUUGUCCUGUUGUGCAUAACUGAUAUUUUUCUUUGUUAUUCAUGUGAAAAAUUCCACGUACAAAAUAUAAUACUUAACUACCUUUGUUACAUCCAGCCUUAGUAGAAUGCAGUUUUGUCUUCUCGAGUCGGUGGAGGGAUACUGUACUUUCUGUGAUUGGAUAGACAAGGGACUAACAAAUUCUUCUUAUUAUAGUCUUGUGCCUCUCCUUUUUCUAUGCAUCGACAUAUAUUUGUUUGUCUAUUAUUAUGUACCGGAAGACCUAAAUUGGAAUCCUUAAUUUAUUUUCUGUGGUGCAGCACUGCUGGUUGCCAAUUUGGUGAGGGCUGCCAUUUUCUGCAUUACGUCCCCGGCGGAUACCAGGCCGUGGCACAGAUGACUAACCUGGGCAACCUAGCCCACGCUCCUCCGGCGCGAGCGCCAGUCGCCGCUCCCCCCGCCUCCAACAGCUCUUCCGCCCCGGCCGUCAAGACCCGCCUUUGCAACAAGUUCAACACUGCCGAGGGCUGCAAAUUCGGGGACAAGUGCCACUUUGCCCAUGGGGAAAGAGAGCUCGGCAAGCCCAUCUCUCAAGAUGGUGGCCCCACCAUGGCGCCACCCCCCAUUGCCGGAGGAAGGCCGGUUCCCGGCCGCUAUGAGCCGCCAAUGCCAUUAGCCGGUUCAGGGGCUCCAGGCAGCUUUGGCGCGUCGGCCACUGCCAAGAUCAGCGUCGAUGCCUCCCUCGCCGGUGCCAUUAUUGGGAAGGGAGGGGUCAACACAAAGCAGAUAUGUCGCGUCACAGGAGCGAAAUUAGCCAUAAGAGAUCACGAGUCCGAUCCAAACCUGAGGAACAUCGAGCUUGAGGGUACCUUCGAUCAGAUCAAGCACGCCAGCGCCAUGGUGAGGGAGCUCAUCGUCAGUGUAAGCGCGUCCACUCCGAUGCCCACAAAGCCACUGGCGGCAGCAGCUGCUGCUGCAGGCGGUCAUGGCGGGCCUGGUAACAACUACAAAACAAAGCUGUGCGAGAAAUUUGCAAAGGGUACCUGCACAUUCGGCGACCGGUGCCACUUUGCUCACGGGUCGGGCGAGCUGCGAAAAACUGCUGUUUGAGUUUUGCUACUUUUUGUGCCGCUGUCUCCGACGAGCUUCCCCGGUUCUCCAUUUCCUUUCUCGUUGGAUUUCAGCAGGGGCUUGAUAUUCACCCGGAUUUUUAGUUACUGUAUUUCUGAUUUGCUAGGAAUGAUUCCAGGUUUUCCACCAUUUGCGUUUUUUCUUCUUUCUGUAGCAUCUUUGUGUUAUCUCACGCUUUUGAAGCCAAUAUUCGUGGCCGUAGGAUAUUUUUCGCCGUGUAUCGUUGUUAUUUAUUGCUAGCCUACUCACUGUUUCAUAUGGUCUUGUUGAACCUUUUGUAUCUUUUCCGAGCUUUAAAUCACCCGCAUCUUGGGACAGCAAAAUGUGCACUAAAUGGUUGAUUUAAUGUGGCUUUUUCUGUAUCUGUAGAAGAAUCAGAAUUUGUUGGCCCUGUUUUCCUUUUGCGCAAUGUGCUGUGAGGAGAAAGCAUUGUACUGUAUCAUUUUUUCUGAAACUGUAAGCCCAACUAUAUACUGUUGUUGUGUGUGUGCGCGCGUACCUGCGGCGCACUCGUGCGUAGUUAUUACGACACGUUUUCUGUGUUGAUUUUAAACAAAUGUCUUCUGGAAGCGCAGUAUCUUGCAUUUUCCAACAUCAAAUCAGUUAUCGGUUGUGUGAAGGAAAGAAAACUGCAUCACAUCUGAAACUAUUUUUCAACCCUGCUGUCUCGGUCAGGGUUUCAGCCUCCAAUCCUGUUAAUGCCAAAUCAUGUAGGGAGAGAGUUAAUGCGUAAGAAGUGAUUACUGUAGAUCAUAUUAUUUGUUGCUUUGUGAUCGGAAAACUUUUUUAAGUUGGACAAAUGUAAUCUAUAUAAGAUUCUGGAAUUCCAAAACAGAAGCGCCAACUUGUUGCUUUGAUUUUGGUGCAAGGCGAGUUUGUUGAAAGAUUUUUAAUGCAAUGUUUUCUCUGUAGUGCUAUUCAGACAGCAAUUCAUCUUAGGUAUAUUAUGUAGUGGCAUUAGAAAGAUUAUGUGUCGCGCUAUUUGGAUCUCAAUUUUUCUUAUAAAUUAAGAAGGAAAAUAAGGAAAAAAAGAGAAAAGAAAAGAGAAUGGGCAAUAAUUCACAAUUUUAUGCUGAUGAAUCCAUAUGCAGGAGCAACACAUACGCCAAUACCAAUGGUGAGAACAAAGAGGAAAAUAUGUACACAUGAUUGCCUCACAAGCUAGUUACAAAGUAUACAAGACAAAAAGAGAAACUUUAAGAUUUUUUUUUAAAAAAAAAGCAGAAAAAGCUCAAUCCAAAAGUGAAGAAUCCAUUCCAAAUUAUACAGAAUUAAUGAAACCAAUCAAUUAGCAAUUAAGCCUUUCAUGUAUACAUAUCCACAACCCUAGGUAUAACAUGAAUCACAUGCAAGUGUAAAAAAGCCAAAAAAUAUACACAAACUAUAUAUGACACAUCCAAAUUAAUUAAUUGGAACUGCAUAUAUGCAACAACAUUGGAUCACACAUCCACUCCAGAGGAACCCAAAGGGAGGAGCCAGGUGAACUCAGCAAGCCCUUGGAAGAAUCCAUGAUCAUGAUCAUCUUCCAAUCCACUGAGAUACCCCCCGCCCGACGGGCUCCCGUCCGGCCACGGCCGCCUCCCGUCCUCCUCCCUCGCCUCUCCCUUUAUGUCUGCCUUCUCUCGACCAUGCAGAUUAUUACGUUGUAAUCCUGACAUUUCUGUCGGUGAACGAUUCACUGUCUUCUUUAUUAUUCUGCCACGGGUUUUCUUCCCUGGCUUUCCCGUGAGCUGCUGCACGAGCUCACGAAAGUUGUCGACGUCAGUUUUGAUGAUCUCCGGCGCAAAGAUGUGGACUAUUCGAAUCUUGGGCUUCGGUUUCGAUAUCGUGUGCGAGUCUUUGCGCACCGAGAAUGUCGUCAGAGGCCGGUCGUGGGCUCCUGAGCUCAUGACGGUUUCCGCCGCCGACGCCCCGGCGCCCCCGGCCCCAGGUGUGCACUUUGGAAGGAUAGAUAGAGAUAGAGAUAGGGAACAAUUAAUUGAUGCAGGAGGAAAGAAUCAUACAUACAUAUAUGAAUGGAUUAAAAAUUGUUAAAAUAUUAAUGUGGAAGUGGAGGGGAAAUGGAAAGUGAUAAGUAACCAAGAAAAAAAAAAAUCAUUGAAAUAUUGUUUGUUGACAAUUAAGGUACAAAUCAAAUUUCAUAGAGCUUUGAAGCCCAAUAAGAUACCUUGUGAGAAGAAUAUAAAUUUCAGCAGUAUAUAGUUUUGCAUAUUUUGUGCAAUUUUUAAUAACUGUCUUUAUUUUAUUGUCAAAUAAAUUUGUUGAUGUGUAAGUAAUGUUAUGCUUAUAAAUAAAUUUUACGAUACUUUAAAAACAUUUUUUUUUUCUUUUUUUGGGCAUAUUAGUAAGUUAAAUUUACUUCACAAAGAUCUGACUUUGGAACAUCCCUGUAAAGUACAAGCACAUGUAUCUCAAUUGCAUAUAUAUAUUUUUUAUAUAUUUAUUUAAUAUUGAGUCACAAACACAACGACAAUAAUAAAAUAGAAGCUUAAGAAACCUUCUCAUUAUCUUCAAGAAUAAGAAAGAGCUUGUCAUUGGAUAGAUAAAGUCUCAACAGUUACAACCUAAUUUUUUAUCUCUCUCUCUCUCUUUCAAUAUAUAUAUAGAUAUAUAUAUAUAGUUAGGCUGAUAUACUAUCGGUAGCACGAAAUCUCUAUACUAUCAAGUUAUUUUCAAUGAUGCGGCUUUCAAAUCGACGAUCGGUUUCAUUAAACUUAAUUUACACUAUUGAAAGUAUUUGAAAACUAAAUUUCAUAAUUUUUCAACAUCAUUAAUUUCAGUUAGAAAGAGAGAUUGCAGAAUUACAAUCUAUAAGUUAUUUUCAGCUUGGGUUCCUAAAACUAUUAAAUUAUAUAAUAUUAUUUAUAUAAUAGUUCAGCGCAAAAGCUCUUUUUUUACGGCCAUUUUCUUUUUUUUGUCAUACAAUUUGAAACCAUCACAAUGGCAAGUUCUAUUAAUCAAAUAUAUAUAUAUAUAUAUAUAUAUAGAGAGAGAGAGAGAGAGAGAGCGCGCUAGGCUCUUAUGCUUUCGAAAGUACGGCCAUUUGAUCUAUGCUAUUGGAACUAUCUAGAAACCAAAUUUUAUAAUUUUUUAACUUUGUUUGUCAAGUGAACGAGGAGCUUCAAACUGAACGGCCGAAAAUAAAAAUCUCAUAAAAAACAGUGAUAAAGGACUCAAAUUUCAAAUCGGUAGUAUUGAUCUUACUAUUGAUGUUAAGUAGAAUUUUUUAUUAAAUUUUUAUGUAAUUUGGAUACUUUUACACCGUUGAACUUAAAAACAUGCCACAUCGGCCGUUAAAAUAGUUAUUUUUGAGACCUUUUGAUCGCUUGGUAAAUGAUGUCAAAAAAUUAUCAAAUUUGGUUUCUAGAUAGUUCCAAUAGGAAAGAUUAUAUUUAACGGAACCGAUCGUCGAAUCGGAUGUCCUAUCAUCGAAAACAACUUACAAGCACGAAGGUCUCCGUACUUUUGAAAGUACACCAGACGUACUCUCUCUCUCUCUCUCUAUAUAGAAUCCAGCUGCUAUCCUUCUAGGAGGAUAGAAUCCAGCUGCUAUCCUUUUAGGAGGAUAGGGACCUUCGUCCUAUCAAAUCGUUUUUGAUGAUAGGGAUUUCGAAUCAAUGAUCGGAACCGUUGAAAUUAAUCUAGAGUAUUUGAAUUAUCUAGGAACUAAAUUUUAUAUAUAUAUAAAUUUAUUUACAUAAUGAUCAAAGAAUUGCAAAAUUGAUAGUUUUUGACGGCCUAUAUGAGUCGUUUGCUUGUUUAAUGGUGUAGCAUAAUCCAAAUCGGUUGAAUUUUUGAUAGAAAAUUCUUUAUACUAUUUAGAUAAUGUUUAAUAACUCCGAACGUAAAUUGAGAAAGUUUAACCUCUGUUUUCAAAAGGUCAUUUGUUUUUGACCGUUCAUUUUUCGAUUUUUUGAUGGACUUGAUAAUAAUUUUUAAAAAUUACAAAAUUCUGUUUCUAAAUAUUUCUAAUAGUGUAGAUCAAUUUCAACAGUGCCGAAUAUCAAUUUGAAGUCUCAAUCAUUCAAAAUGACUUGAUAGGACAAAGCCUGCUAUCCUCUCAAGAGGAUAGUAGCCGGACUAUAUAUAUACACACACACACAUUGAAACUUCAUGUCCCAAUAAUUAAACUCACAUUACAAGUCUUUGGUAAAUUAUGUUGGAUCGUUGGCGCUAACCAUUAAUUCCAAAAGCUCGAGCUGUUAAAAAUACGCAAUAUAUUCACUUAAAGCGUACAGAUACAGUGCCCACGGAUCUCGAUUGUAAUUCGACCCAACCAGCCUCACAUCAUUUCGAACAUGACUCGGUCCAUCCAGCCUCACGUCAUUUCGAACAUGAUUCGGCCCAAUAUGGUCUCCUGCCACAGGAUAGGAUGCUGGUCCAUUUAAACCAACAAAUUAGUGGAGUGUUAUAUGUAUUACAUAACCAAAACUUCAAAGCAGUUCUGAUAUAAAAUGUAAAAUAUGAAAUUCAUAGUUGAGUUGGAGUGCUUUUAAAAGAACGGAAGCCUCCGUGUUUUUAAAUUCUUUUCGACGAUGAAACUUUCAAAUCGAUGACCGGUUUUCUUAAAUUCGAUCUACAAUAUUUAAAAUAUCUAGAGAAUAAAUUUUAUGAUUUUUCGAUAUCAUUUACCUAGUGAUCGAAAUGGUUCAAAAUCAACGAUAGGAAAUAAAAAUUUUACAAAAAAUGAUGAUAGUUUCUAAAAUGUUAGAUCAAAUGUUUAUAUCUUGUUUUAGAUAGGAUAAAAAGUUUUUUAAUCAAAACUUUAAUCUAUUUCGAUAUAUUUAUACUAUUGAACUUACAAACAGCUCAUAUCAACCAUUAAAAUUGUUGAUUUUGAACUCUCUCGAUCAUUAGAUAAGUGAUAUCAAAAAAUUGCAAAUAUUUUUUUUCUAUAUACUUUAAAUAUGGUUGGUCAAAUCUAAUGGAGUCAAUUAUUGAUUCAAAUGUUUCAUCAUUAAAAAUAAUUUAAAAGCAUGGACUCGAGACUUCUAAAUACAGUCCAGCUGAACUCAUAAAGAAAUAUCUACUAUAAUAUAUUCUAUGCAUAGAGUAGAGGAGGAACAGGCAUGUCAUGACUUUGUUCUCCAAUAGGCCUCUCUUUAAUUUUUAUGGGCCCUAAAAAUUAUGUAAAAAGGGUUGGAGACAAGCUCCUCAACUUUAUCUUUUGGAUCAACACUCUCAUUAUUAUUAUUUUUGUUUUCUGAGUUAAUUUAGUUAGUUUGGUUGAAAAUUUGUUAAAUUUAAUAGCUCUACAAGCUACUAGUGGGAAUUGUUACAGCUUUAUUUGAUAAACUAUGAUCAAAGCAACAGGACUACUACAAUUUGAUGAAAUAUCAAUAAAUUUAACUAAAACUUUUAAAUUUUAAAUAAUCAAAAGUGAAGUUGAAGGGACUUCUUUUCUUUUAAAAAAAAUGUCCUAUAUACAGUUUAGGGGGUCUCUGUACAUUUUUACCUACACAAUUUAAUGAGGGAGCAACACCCUAAAAUCUGGCCCUAACUCCAGCAAAAGAGCUUCCUUUUAAGUUGGCCCAUAACACUUGCUUUUCUCCUCAUAUUUUGGUAUGAAGUUUAUUCACAAAGUAUUUUGGUGAAAGAAAAGUAGGAACAUAUUUAGCUAAUAUAUUGUGUUUCUUAUUAACUUAGUCCUCCUUUCCAUGAUUCUCAUCAUUGUUGAGAUUUUUUUUAAAAAAAUUUUUAUACCACUUGGAGGAAAAAGAAGCAUGAAAUUAAGCAACACUAUGAAGACCAAAGUGGUGAGUUGUGGGGUUAAUUUAUCUAAAUCUUUCACUAAAUCCCUGAUGUUAAGGAACCAAAAGCCACCAUUAUGUACUCAACAAUUGCUUAAACUAUUCUUUUAUUAAAUCAAUCUCAUAAUUGAUAAGAGCUAGCUUAAAAUCUUUCUUCGGUCCAGAGAGUUAUGCGUUCAAUUUCUCGCAUCAAUCAUUUACUAAAUUCUCGUCGUUUACAUUUUUUCAUUAUCUUUUCUGUUAGUGCAUAUGAUAUGAAGGUUUACUUAAUCUUCGGUGGGGGAGAGGAAGAGAAAUUAUUAUUUCUGAGUUAUUUGAGAGCAGUAAUUUUCUCUCACAUCUUUACACUGAAAAUCUUGCAACCGAGACUCAAAACCCCAGCCCCUCCAACAUGCUAUAGAUCACUACAACAUCUAGGACUAAGAAACUACUAUUCCACACCUUAAUAAAGGAAUCCCUGGAAAGUGUCCUCCUCUUCCCUCCAAUUCCAAAUUCAAAUAGAUGGGUUUUCUGAUAUUCCAGACAAGUCUAUUCUUCUUGUGCUUGUGCUUGUGCUUCUGCUGCUGCUGGGAAUUGGCAGACAGCCUCGACGGGGGCUGGAGNCUUGUGCUUGUGCUUCUGCUGCUGCUGCUGCUGGGAAUUGGCAGACAGCCUCGACGAGGGCUGGAGAAUAGCCACAGCAACCUGCGCCGAGUCACAAAUCUCCGACACCAAUGGUACUGAUUCGAUUCACCAUUUCUCUCCACAUUUUGAUGAUGGACUGUACAUUGACUUUCAAUUUCUAAAUGUGGAGGGGGUGCUUCUGCUUGCGGAUACGGAGAGCUGGACGCACCCGGCAGACUGUACGGCAGGGAAACAGCAGGGCUGAGCACCGCGUUGUUCGGGAGGGGGAGCGCCUGCGGCGGCUGCUUUGAGGUGAGAUGUGUUGAUCGCCGCAUCCCCUACCGGUGCCUGCAGGGGAGCCCCUCCGUCGCCGUCACCGCGGUGGACUACUGCGCCCCCAACUACGGCCGCCCUUACGACGACGGCGGAUGGUGCAACUUCCCAAGAGAGCACUUUGACCUGUCACAAGCUGCUUUCCUGCGAAUUGCUAGCAGAAAAGCUGAUUUCAUACAUGUCCAUUACAGGAGGUAUCUCUCUCUAUAACACUCAAAAUAAGUUGUAAAACAGAUUCCAAGAACUAAUCCGAAGGGUGGGUUACUGCUGUGUUCUUGAUGCAGGGUGAUCUGCGAAAGAGAGGGCGGGAUCAGAUUCACCAUAGCAGGGAGCUCCUACUUCCACCAAGUUCUCAUCACAAACACGGGCUCCGACGGGUUUGUCACGGCUGUCAAGGUGAAAGGGUCGAGAACAGGCUGGAUUCCCAUGGCCAGAAACUGGGGCCAGAACUGGCAGUGCGAUACCGACCUCCGAGGCCAGCCGCUGUCUUUUGAAGUAACCGACAGCGAGGGCAGAACUCUCACAUCCUACAACGUCGCCCCGUCCGACUGGCGGUACGGACAGACAUUCGAAGGAAAACAGUUCGACUAAAACAUUAACACAUCAACAUGGACGGACACACCUGCAAUGAAUAUCAGUUCUAAUCGAAGAAAAAGGAGAAUCCGGUGAUCGAAUUUGCCACACGACAUGUGCAAUGCAAAAGAGUGUUGUAGACUGUUUUGGUACAAUAUAUGUCUGUAUUUAAAGUGAAUUGACCACAGCACAAAUUCUAUCAUAGCACUGCAACUGUUACAUUCAGCAACACCAGAAAAUAACCAUAUAUUUCCCUCCUACUAGUCUCCUGAAUAGGCAUUAUUAGCUUAGAACCUGUACUGAGAAUAUUAUGCUUUGAAGAAUCCCACAAUCACCAAGCGAAUGCCCUUAUUUACCCAGAGGUCAUGCAGAGUGAACAGUUUCUCUACGAAAACGAGCAUAGCAAGUGUUUUCUAUUGACAAAAAGACAUUAGAUUUUAAACUGCCAAAAUGGGCUUAAUUAUCAUACAACUUUCCUCCUACGUGUGAUGUAAGAUACAGUCAAAACAAAAGGCCGGCGUGUCACUAUUUACAAAGUUACAUCCAAAGAAAAAAAGAACCUGUUUGAUGAUACCUUCAUCAAUCAGCGAAACCCUUAAAUUCUUGGGGCUCCAAUCAGUCACAUGCCUCCAAUACAAUUGAUUGAUGUCCGAGUCCGAGACUUCAACCUUUGAUCGUAUUCAGAGACAUCUGUCACCCGUGCUUCAGAAUAAAAAAAGAAAAAGAAAAAGAAGAGACAUCAGUAACAGUAGUUAAAAACCAUCUUGUUUCUAAAAUGCUGCCACAAAACACACGCACACACACACAGAGAAAAGGAAUUUAUCUGCAAGCCAUGUACAGUUUCUGAUACAAGAAGGAGGCAGAAAUAUGUGGAAACAAAAUGAGGUUGCGGGAAAUGGCCUCCUACCUAUACAAUUAUCACUUGCAUGAAAAUCUUCACCCAGAGCAGCAUGAUACAAAACAAGGUUGAUUAGUUCCACAACAAGGAAAGUCAACAGUCGGAGACAAAGUAGAUACACAUAACAUUAUUUCCAGGAAAUAAGUAAUCCAAGAGGAAAUGUGUGCUUUAAAACAUAUCUAUCAUGUUACCACGAGCAUCCGUAUCAUGAACUAAAAGGGAGAGACAUAUGUUACCGUACUAUGUUAUGACUUCUUACAACUCCUUGCAGGUCCUCUUCUAAGCCUUUUCAAAGGAGGCCGUUGAAUUUCAUCAUCAGCUUGAGAAGCAUCCUCUCCAAGUUCAUCUAAAGUCAUACAGUUGAUAGCCAAAAGCAAUAGGCAUGAACACAAAGUAGUAAACAACUGAAAAGCAAAAUGAUUUCUAAGAUAAGACAGUAAUGUUAACCCACCAGGAAAAUGUCUUCCUAAAAGAUGAAGGUUGUGCUUUUUGAUGGCUAACAAACAACGUACAUAAAAAUUGUAUUCGGUAGCCAAUUCAGAACUAGCACCUUGACUUCACAGUUUAUCUUUAAUCAUUUUUUGUAGGAAGUUCAGCCAGUGAAAAUAUACUGAACAAUGUUGAAGUUUCUAUAACAAGUCAGCUUCUUUUUUUCUUUUUUCUUUUUUUGAGUAAUACCGUCUACACAAUAACUACCUAUCUUGAUCUACAGUAUAGUUUCAAACUCUUGUACGUCUUUCAACAAAAUUAAUGAGAGCUUAAAGAUACCCCUACCUCAAAACCUGACCCUAGAUAAUGGACAAGAAAAACAUUUCUUGUUUUAACCUGAAAUAUACCUGAAACUUUAACCUGACACAAAAUGACUCAAAACCAUAGUAAACUGAACCUAAACAAAAGAAAUUAUUGGCUGCAAGAACUUUGAGCUUGAAGGAUUUGGUUCAGUUUAGAUAUGGUAGUGGCUAGUUGUUCUGAAGCUGCUAUACUAUGUUCCAUUUACAUCUCUGUAGUUUUCACGUUUCUUGGUGGAUAAAAUACUAUUAGGGUCUGGAACGAGUAUAAAUUGCAAAUAGGGUGCUCUACGUUAAUGCUUCUUUGGGUCUCUCUUUCUUGUACCUUUCCUUCCACAAAGGUCAGUUAGAAGGUUUGCCAAAUUCCCCAUCUAGAGAAGUGGUUUCUCUUAAGAAAAUAAAUAAGCAGCUAAACAAAUCAACAUCUCCAACAGAAAACAACUUGAACCAGAAUGACUCGAUAGGUAAAAAAACCUGACUUGAAUCGACUAGAGCACAAUAGCCAACCCCAAAAUGAUCCAAGCUAAAACAUAGGAAAGCCACCCGAUUGCCACCUCUAGUUAUAGAAUUUAGAAAACUUGGGAGCAUAAAGAGGAUAUAUGAAACAAUAUUUGUCUUAGAAUACACAAAUCAAAGAUGAAUGCUGGAAUCACAGUCCAAAGUACUGUUGCCGACUUCUUCUAACAUGUUGAACAAAAAGGAUCAGGCUGAUCUUUCUGUAUGAUCCUUGCAAAAAAUUAACAUGCUUACCAUCUGAGAUUUCAUUGAAUUUUGUUGUACUUGCAGAUUGCUUCUCCCUAUCAGCAACCAUGACCGCACAUGAUCUCUUCUUUUUCUGAGCAUUCUGAAAGAAAACAAAGCAAUUGAGAUGUCCAAAUUGCUCAGCCUUUAACACAGAGAAAAUUGAUAAUAUUAUCAUUGCAAAGCAGUGAAAUUGUGCAUUUGUCCUUAAAAUGCUUCAAUUAUCAAAAACAUCCAUCUAAAUUUUCAAAAUUUUCAAAUUCAACCAUUUUCAUCAUUUUUCAUUUUAGAGUUUCACCAACAUUUUGCUUCAUAAUUUAUGUGUUCUCUCUCAUGUCAUUUUACACAAACCCUAUAUACUCAACCCCUAAAAUAAAUCUUAAAGAAACAUUUUCUGAAGGGUGAAAAACUAAAAACUAGCAAUCAACUGACGGUAGUCAACUAGUGGGGACAAAUCAGCAACAUUUCAAACGUACAGCAAUUUUGACUUAAGCAAUUUCGUAGGGAGAAAAAGAAACUCCCAAAUUUUGUAGGGUCAUAUCUAUGCAUUUGCACUGAAGUUAAAAUACACUGGUAUCAUUGUGCUUCACCUUUAAUAUGACUUCUUGCUGAGUGGCAGUCUGCUCUGUGUAACCAGAUCGCUUUGCAGACACCGUGAUUAUGCCGUGCCCCAUUUGUUGCUCUGGAGUCUCACAUUUACCGUUAAAAGGUGACAUGUAACAAAACCUGACAAUUAUAGCAGUGGAUAGCAACUUCAUAAUACACAAGAGCACAAAAGAAAGAGGACAGCUACACAGGAUGAAAACACCAGCAACGUGAUAAUAAAACAUCCUUAUUUUGUUCCAACGAUUCCUUUUUUAUCUACUGAUACAAAAAUUGAUUCUCUACUUAAAAUUCUCGAGGUCAACAUUUCUCAAUAAAAAGCAACAAAAUGAUAAAAUAAGAGUACAAAGAGGAUUUCUAAGCAUAAUCAUUUAAGAUAUGUUACCAAGAUUGCAACUUGGAAGCUCUUAGUCAAAGAAUGAAUGUGCAGUAAAAAUACAACAAUUCUUGCCGUGUCCAAAACCACAUUGGGAGGAGCCUUUGAGCAUUAGGUUAAAUUUUUAAAUGUUGACCCUCAUAAGUGCUAAGCUGGGAGAAAAGAGAGGUCAAACCUAGAGAAGAUAGGUUUGAGGUACAAGAAAAUUAAAAACAGUGAGGAAACAUUUCAAAGUAGGAGUAAUAACAGCGUUAUAUCUACCAAACUAAUUUCUACAUUUCUGAAUUUUGCAGUUUUUUUUACUUCUCCCCUGAAUCGUAGACUUGAUGACAAAUUAGUAAUGGUGAUAUAUAAGAUUAUUAAGUAAGGGGUGUCAAACAAAAUGUAUUGAGUUCAUCAAAUACACUUGAAUCCAUGCCUUGUGAUCUACCAGACAAAACUAAAUCAUCUUCGCAAGCAUUGCCACAACACAUAUGUGGUGAAAGUAAGAAAGAAAUAUGGUAAUAUGGCAUACCAUUCCAGAGGCAAGUUAUCACUGUUGAAACUCUUGGUCAAUAUCCUCCAUUUCCGGCAUUUACUACACUGUACCCACUCAUGAUCUGGCAUAUAGCGUUCAUUCCCCUUUUUCUGAAGUAAUGAUGAUUCAUCAGAACGAAGUUGAACUGAUUUUAGUAAUGCAAUCAAAUCUAAAGUUUAAACCUGACGGUUAUUAGCAAUAUCAGUUAACAAUGAAUAUCUACAGAUGAACCCCACAAUAGCAAGCCUUCUCCAUACAGUUUAACCUAACUAUACCAGCACUUCUCUUUUAUAGCAAGAGCUGUUGAUUCGUGCAGGUAACCCAAGCUAGAUUGGCCUCAAAAGGCCCCUGGGCGCAUGCACCUCUUCUACAGGUGAGUAAUGUGGCAAUCACAUUUAGAGUCAAUUCGUAGUCAAGCAGAUAUAGUUUAAUAAAUUAAACAAUUUUCUGUAUCAAAAAUACAGUCAGAAUAUAAAGGAAUUCUCCUGAAUCAACGUCAAGUUUGUUUGUGCAUGGAACGACAUUGCAAGGAUCUCAUGAUCUAAACUGUAGCUUUAAUACCAAAUUGGAUAGGAUUAAAGCACCUACACACUCCUCCCUGCUCCAAGGGGAAGAGGAACCUCCUCUUCUCUGUUUUGCCUAUGGUAGAAGCCGGUAAGGAAAAACUCCUCUAUUGACUACAAACUUUACUGGAUGAUUAUUGCAAUACCUAAUUUGUUCAACAACAUUUCAUAUAGAUAUGCACAAAAGACGUGCCAACAAGUGUUCAAAAUUCUAUUGAAAGAAAAAAAGAGAAAACAACAACAAUAAGAACUUGUAAGCUAUCAUUUUUCAAUUAGGCAAUUCAUGAAAUAUCAAAUCUUUUGUUCUGAAUGCUAAGAUUAUUGUUCUUUCUCACUACGUUAUUGAGCUCUUUUUUUUCCAAGGAAAAUCCAAUGUAUCUGCAUUGAGUAAAAACUACUCACUUCCUAAUUGAGGAAAAUCCAAUGUAGCUAAGAUUACAAUAAGAACUUGUGAGCUAUCAUUUUUUCAAUUAGGCAGUACUACCUCUAUUUUUUGAGAGAGAAAGGUAGCAUGCUACCCACUUCGUUUAUUUCUCUAAAUAGGCAGUACUACUUCCUGAUUGAGUAGUUUUUAUAAAGCAAAAUCCAAUGCAGUUGGAAGAGGCACUUAGAACUUGUAUGAAAGGGGAAGACAAAGCAUAAUUGAUCUAGAAUGACUAAUCUAGAAAACAUAAACACUAUUAAAAAUAUCAACAAGCUGAAUGCAGGUUUUCUCUCUCUUCAAAACUGAGUUGGUUUGACUCACAGAAGAUUGUCCUGAUAGUAACUACCAUAGUCAAAAUAAAAGUGCCGAAUCAAAAUCUCGGUAUUGAAUGCUAAGAAAUUUCACUAUCUUAAUAGCAAUUUUCAAGGAAAGAUGUUACUAUACAAAUAAGUGAAAUAAUUCAAUGCUCAAGAAAUUAAAGAUGGAUAUCCAUAUCUCAGUGCAAGAUAGUUUGAAAUCUUACCAAACCAAGGGGUUCAUAGUGUUUAUCCCAAUAUUCAUCUGCCACGCGGCCCAACCAUUUUUCCAGUUCAGCAUAUGCUUCACAAUCUUGAAAUCCUUGUUUGCUAUUAAGCACCCACACAUUGCCAUUUUCAUCAUCCUGGCAGAAAGUACCAAAAAGCUGAUAUUAAUUAACUAAAAGAUAGAGAAGAAGUAAGGUCAACAGCCAGCUUAUCAAGAAAGCACUUAAAGUGUUCAUGCAAUAAGACUGGGCUCAGAAAGGGAAUUUCACACGUUGAAAUCAUACCAUUAAAUUUGUCACAUCUAUAACUCCAAUGACUCCCCUUCCCAUGUCUGCAUUAUGUAUCUGGCCCCCUACUCGCUUGUAAGCCUACAAGGAGAGACAAAUCGAAUAAUAAUCAAAACUAUUAUAGGAAGCACAAGCAGUCAGUAUAAUGUAAGAAAAGUAAUUCUUCAGAAUAAUGCACGAAGCUAGAAGCACAACUUAUCCAUAAUGUGCACAGAAGCUGAUAACACUAGUUAAAUCUAACUCAAACAUAGAAUACUACAUUCAGGAAUUAGAGGCCCACCGGCUUUGGUGCUGAACAGCAGAGUCCCAAAUGAAAAGUUUGACAAAAUAUGAAGAAUACAUGUAGAAGAAGGUUUCCAAAUUUCAAAAUAUAGGAAAAAGAAUUCAAUAAAUAGCAAAUUCUAGUUUCAAGACAAUUCAACUAGUCUAGGAUCUAGAUAAUAGUUAAUGGUAUGUUUCUUCAAUAUCAAUGUCCUAACUUUAAUUUCAACUCAGAAGUAUUGUCAACCACAAUCUAUAUAUAGUAGCCCACUGUUACCAUAAAUACGAAAAUGUGCGCAUGCAUGCAUUUGCCAGCAUACGCACAUCAAUAUAGUUUUCACUGCGAACCAAAAAAGCCAAUCCUGGCAGAACAUGUUUGAAGGCAAGCGGCUUUUUCCAUUUAGUAGUUUCCCCUCAUAUCAUAUUGAUCUGCAUUUUUUAAUAUGAUUUAUCCCUUCAACAAAACUGAGAUAUGCUAUUUGUUUCAAUUUUCUUGCUGCAGUAUCAUUAUUUUCUAUGGAAUAUAAACUUUUUUCUAGUUUGCACUUAUUUUUAGGAGAAACAUAAUGCACUCAUAUAAACUAUAAAGGUUGUUACAUUAAGAACAGGAAAGAGAAAAAUAUGUAGCAUUGUAAAUAGAGUGCACUUAUUGGCCACAAAGAUGUACUCACCUCAAUCAAGCGGCCAUGCCAAUAGAGAAAUAUUCCACAAUUCAUUCGUUGCCAUUCAAUAUUGCUUCUUCCUAGUGUUAAUUGAAUAGCUUUGCCCAUUACAUCACCAGAUAUUAUAGCAGUUUUAUUUAGUGAUUUGGCCAAAGGUUGGCAUUUCACCUGGCAGAGGGGGAAGAAAUCAAGUAAAUAAAACAAAAAACGGGAAGUUUACUGAAUGGAUAAUAGAAAGAAGAAUAGUAGGACCACUUACCAGAGAACCUUGGACAUAAAUCUUCAUUCGAGGAUCUAAGAAAAUGACUUCCAAGUACAACCGAAGAGAAUAGUCCAACGGUACCUAUAGACCCCACAAGAGGUGACAUAGAGAUAAGUUCAUUGCAAUUGCUAAGACAAAAAAAAAGAGUAAAAUGAACAAAAAAAUUGAAAGAAAUAAAAGAUGAAAUCACAUUCUUCUAUAGGAAAAUCUGAAUUUACAUGUUUAGAUUCGGAUAUGUAAUACAAUUAGAUCAAGAGGAGGGAAAAGGAAAAUACGGCAUUACACAUUACGCACGAGCUUGCUUCUACAUGUAUAUGGAAAAGCAGGGGGUUCAAGCCAAUUAAUAAAAUUAAUUGAUGAUUCCAUACUUUUCAUACUAACACAGUAAGAAGAAAUCAACCAAGACAAAGCAAAAGUUCAUGAUAAUGCGGAUUACCUUCUGGCUUACUUGCCCCGGGCGUGAUCUUACUCUCCUAGAACGAAUUAAUAUGUCACCACUGGCAGAUGUAUUUUGGGACCAUUCAAGACUAUAAUCAGAGCCCCAUUUAUCCAAGUUCCAUAUGUAUAUUUGCGUCCCAGUUCCCAUUUCACCAAAUAGUCCAAGUUUCUCACCAAUAAAAUAUUCAUUGAAAGGUGAGAAUUCCUUAAUAGCCUUCAAACUAAUUUCUGUGGAGACUUCUGACUGGACACUUAAAUCCACUUCCAUGAACUGGCACUGCUUAGAAUAUGUGAUUACAGGGAUUUCAAGAUUCUGCACCAAUUUGAAACAUCUUACUUGUUUAGUACAAUUACAAAGGAAACAAAUCAAGUAUUAAUUGCAGACUAAAUAACCAUGGCUAGAAUAGAAGAAGACAUAAUUUACUUCUUUGCUUUCAUUAUAAGAUUGAGAUAACAAGGCUACAGAUCUGGAGUUGGAAGUUUGGGUAAGAACAAGUGCAUCUCUUCCAAGUUUCAUAGCCCCAGUCUGCAAGGAAACAAAACAAGUCAAAAUUACCGAAGCAAGAAAGCUGUGCCAUCUAUAGCUUCCAUUAUUAUUAACAUAAUAACUCGAAACUUCUAGUUGAAAAUCAAUGUUGAAGACAACACAGGUCAAUCUAGAUUUUUCAUUACAAUAUUGGAGAUAAGAAUACAUAUGCCAAGCAAGCUAAUACUCAGAUUUGCAAGAUGGAGGUUAUAUUCCUCCCCUGCAAAAGGCAGCACAUAAACUACAUAAUAGCUGUUAGAAAAGGCAAUUUUAAAUAAGCUUAUUUACCUUAAAUCCAAUGCCAAAUCUUCCAAUACGAUCCUGUUCAUCUUCAUUUGGCUGUUUGUGACCAAAAGAAAGCAUUCUCAUGAUUUCAGUAUGAGACAUGCCAUGUCCAUCAUCAAUGACUGAUAAUACAGGUACUCUCUUUCCUUCCUUCUUGGAAUAUAGAGACUCAAUAGAAAUGUCCAACCUUGAGAAAGAGAGAACCAUACACUUAAUGAGCAAUAGCAAAAUACAUGUCAGACAUCAGCAAGGGAAAAAGGUCGAAACUUCCUAAGAUGAGGACAGUUAUAGUGACUUCUCAAGACGACAUACUUACCAUAGAUGCACUAAAUAUAAAAAAAAAGGUAUGAAGAAAUCUAGAAAAUAUGCCAAGCAGCAAAACAGUUCUUUAUUCGCAUAUAGUCAAAUCAAAUGUGGAUAAAUUGACCAACACUCAUCAAAGUCAACUGACAUUGGGAAGUUUGGCAGAAGCAGAAUACUGACUGCUUCAUUUUCCAAGCAAGGACAGCACCAAAAGCACUUUCAGUCAAAUCUUUAAACCUCAAUAUGAUGGACAGAAAGCAUUUCAGUUAAUGAGUUAAAAGGAGUUACACAAAAGAGACUAUAGGGUUGAAAGAAUCACGAUCAUCUAUUUCUCAAAAAAAAUGAACAAGAGUAGCGACAGGCAUAUAAAUACGAAAAUGGAACAAAAGGCUUCAUCAUCACUUAAAAAAUAGAAAAUAUACUAAAUUGUUGACACAAAACAAAACGACCAUUUUAGCAUGAUUUCUGAGAUAAAUGGAAGAGGCUGUAAAAGCAGUGCACAAAAUACUUCCACAAUCCACUAGGAGCAGUUAACUAUAAGGAUAAGCAAUUGCUGGACAAAAAUUUGGCAAUGAAUUGUAAAACAGAAGCACACAAACAGGCAUCAGAUCUUUAGCUUGUGCAAAAGACAAACUACAGCUAUACCUGGAUGCAUCAGCAUCCCUGGAGUUGUCAACGAGCUCAGCUAUUGCUCCAAAAAUCCAUCCAGCAUGAGUCUGACUGAGAGUUCUUAGGUAACUUGGAUCCGUCUUGACAAAAUUUCUAUUAACAACAUCUGCCCUUUUUACUGAUUUUGGAUGAGAAGUGCUAGGAGCAUCUUCUACAGAUUCACAAGGAGAGGGUUUUCUGGGUGCCUGGUGAAGUACAUUCAUAGAAUAAGGAACAUCACCGAUUCGAGACAUAUUUAAAAAUCCAUUAUCAACAAUCUCUUCUCCCAAAUGAUGUCUAGAAUCUCUACGGUGCAUGACCACCUCUGGUGGGGAAGGCAAUUUUAUUGGAGAGCGGUCAGCAUGUCUUAUUUGUUCUUUUCUGCUAGAAGUUUGAAUGAAGUUUCUGGUACAGAUCCUACGAUCAUUAUGCAGCUGACCUGAGAUUUUAAGGUCAAAAAAACAAAUUGUUUACCAUUUGUUUCACUUCCACAAGUUGCAUUCCAAUUCAUUUUAAAAAAUCAACAAAAAGACAUGGACAUAUCAGCAACUUAUGUGACGAAAAAAUGUAAACUAUUAACUGUGAAGAAAGGAUACGAUUCAAAACUCCUACCAAGAAAAUCACCAAAAGCCCCCGAGCAACAGAAAUACAAUGGCAAGGGUACAAGUUAUAAUUAUGAUACAAACAAAAUUAAACUGGUAACAAGUUUUAUACAACAAAAGCACUUAUACAGGUGGAGUGAGAUAAGCCAAUACAGGAAUUCUUGCUCGAUUUUCAAACAGACUCUGCUUGAUUUUCAAACAGACAGCCAAUCAUCACAGGCACUUUGCAGAAAGUACUAUUACCUGAUGUUCCUGUGUUCUGUUGAUUACAUACGAGACCUGGCUUUUCUGUCUGAUAUAAAAUUAUAGCAUGUGAAAAUUCAGGGAAUUCAUCAGGAGCAAGUAUGUAAAACCUGCAGUACUCAGAACUCACAAGCCCAGCCUUCAUAAAAUAAAAUUGCAAACAUUAAAAGAAACUUGAGGAACUACAAAAAAAUAAUAAUGAACUGCAAACUUUAAAAAUUCCUGUUCAUGGAAAAGAAAACUCACCCUUUGAUGCUUCCAAAGAAAAUUCAGAAAAGCUCCCCACUCAUAGGACUGGUGAGAAUUUUCAGGGUCUGGAUAUAACCGGAAAUUUGGAAAUCUCCCGUUACUAAGUAUCUCGCUUGGUCUAAAUUUCGUUAUAGACCAAGUCAAUGGGCUGCAGAAGCAAUAAGAAAUCAGCAACUGCUGUGUCAAAUAUAUCACAGAAUUGUUUCAACAACGAAAAGUGUAUUGUUAGUCUGUCUCUCUACUAGAAUAUGUAAACUUUGCUAUCAUAUUUCUUGAUACAGUGACCAAUAACAAACGUAGUUACAGCAAUACCGUACAAAGUCAGCUACAGCAUCAAGAGAUUCCUUUAACAAGGAGUGCACUGAUGCAAAUUGUCACAUAAAGCAUGGAACAAUUUGAUACAACAAGAUUCAUGUCAUAGAGGCAAACAAAAGGUCUUAUGCAGAAUAAAAAUAAACUAAAAUCAGCAAAACGUACACAUCAAAUGGAAGAUUGAAAGACUUUGUGCGGCAAAUGGGCUUGUUAUCUUUCUGGAGCAAAAUAUAUCGCAUAGGCCCAUCUACAAAACAAGCAUAUAACAAUUUAAACUCACCAGAUAGCAAACUCCAUAGUUUCCUAGAAAUCAAAUAAAAUGAGAUAAGCAGAGGAAUCCAAGGAACCACGAAGAGUAACAAAUACUCUCACCUUCGGAAAGAGGGGGCUCAUUUAAGUUCAACAUUCUGCUCAUGCUUUCACCUGCGACACCAAAUAAAGCAUCGAAUCAGUGUCUUAUAGGAUUAGAAACCGCAAAUAAGAUGAUCUUAAGUUUUGAGUGGUGUUUAAAAUGGGCCCUUCAAAAGCAUGUCUAGCACUAAAAGGUGCAUUGCUUUAAGCAUGGUGCAACCAAGCUCAUUCUUUGAAAUGAUAGGAUAAUAAUGGGGCUCAACACUAUAUUGGGAGCUCAUCCUCCAAAAACCAUAGAACUGUAACCGAAUGACACAAUGAGAACAAAUAGAACAGAUUGGAGCCUGUAAACCAAGUUGUAAAUCAAAAUUUUGCAUAUUUGAGCACUACGCAUCUUCUCAACUUGAAUAUGAACAAAUGCACUUUGAAUCUAAUUAAUGUCAACAAGCUCGUAAUUGAUAUCCUUAAGAAAAGCUUCCAAUGGACUCCUGAUUAACCAAUUUCACUCAGUAUGCAAUUUGGAGAAAGUGGGGAAUUACUAAAUCAGUCACCCUCUACUCGAGUCUCGAGCCACUAUCAUGGUCGGUUCUACAGGAAAGUCCAAUAGGGACAGACAAUUACUAUUAUUUUUAUUAAAGAAAUCUUUUAUUCCUCAUAUUAAGACAUAAGACGUAGGAUCCUUUCCUUUUGGGUCAAAGAAUAGAUCUUCAAGAUAGCACUAAUCUUCUUUCCUUUACAGGAGUUAAAAAGAGUUAACAACAUUAAAAAAAUAUACAAUGGGAUUUGAUAGGACCACUGUUAUAAAGUUCUCAAAUUUUCUGAAAAAUUUCAAAUAGUAACAAACUUUGGCUUCAGAAAAAUAUUUUCCAAAUCAUUUUCCAGUCCAAAAUUAUUGUAAUCACAAGGAAAUAUAAAUAUACUAUACAUUAUAUAUUACUAGUAAAAAAGUUAAGAAUUAUCUGUUGCUAAAUUGAUUCUGCAUUAUCUUUCUAACCUUUCUAUAAUCUAAAAACGUAAGGAGAUUACAUAAUAACAUAAUAAAUUUUUACAUACUUAGUUUUCAGUAAUAUAUAGCUGAGUCUUCUUCUAAGAAACAUGAAUGCUUGGAAAAUGUUGCCAUGUCUAAAUUGUGUAAUAUUAGACAUAUGUCCUAGCCGAACACUAUAGAUUACAUGUCCGUCAACUGUCCACUGUGUCCACUAUUAUCAUUUCACUUGUUGUGAGACCAACAUGCGUCCGUUGCAUGUCCCUCAUAAUCGUGCAUAUCUAUCUAUAUUUAGAACUUGUUGAUUACAUGUCUCAUAUACAAAAAAUGAAAAAAAAAUUGUAACAUUACAUGUUGUCGAUUUUCCACUCCACUUUAUAUAGUGUUUUAUGUGAGAGUUAACAUAAAUAUUCUAGUUGUUAUACAUGGCUAAUUCUUUGAAUCAAAUACAUGUUUUAAAUUCUCAAUAAUUAUAGUUAUUAACAUUCAACAUUAUACAUCUGCCAAUCAAGGACGAUUGAUAGAUUUCUAUAGGUGAAGAUAUUAUCAUGGAAUUAUUAUUUUCUAUUUUAGGAACACAAUGAGAAUGCAUUAAUUUGCAUAUUUCCUAAUUAUUAUUACAUUUAACAUAGUUUUAAAAGUAGUCUAUGUGGCCGCAUAUGCGAUUCACUGACUUAAACACACUUCACAUCGAUAUGCGGCAAUAUAUGCAGUUAGUCCGCAUAUUGGGCCGCAUAUUAGCAGCGUAAUAUUAUUUAUUGUAUGUUUUUUUAUUUCUUUAGCAUAAUUAGUGUAAUACUGUUAGCUAUCUCUUUCUUGACUUCCGUCUGGCAAUUUUGUGAUGCUAUUUCAUAGUCUAUAUUUGACAGUACGCCUUAUAUUUUAGCUAAGUUAUAAUGCAUUCAUACAAUCCUAAGUACGUAAGUUGAGUACUACAUAUUACUUUAAGCUAUAUACAUUUUUCAUUAAUUUUAAUGGCUAAAUGCAUAUGCACCUCAAACCGCAUGUGCGCUAUGCAAUCAGUCAACCGCCUGCAUGUCGUGCAUGGUGCUUUUUGAAACUUUGGCAUUUAUUUGUCAUGGGCCUUGGUAUUCCAAAAUUGCCGAGUCGCCAUGCUCAAAAUCAUGUUGUAUCCCGUGUCCUGAAGAAGUGUCACCUAGGUUUAACUAACCAACUACUUUUGAACUUUUUUCGGAUUCACCAAGCUUCUACCAAAUUUCAAACUUUCUAGCUUGGCCAAUCUUUUUCUUGAAUGUUGAACUUGUAAUUACAAGAGAUAGCAUGAUAGGAGAUUUAAUAGUCCUAUUAUGUUUAGAAAACAGCAUAGAGUGUAACAACCUAGCCCAUUAGCACUAGUAACUUGUGGUUUGACCCCCUUGUGGUUUAACUCUUUCUCACUUUAAUACCCUAUGGUUUAAAGUGUAUCAAGUUAGUACCCUGUGGUUUUGCACUUUUUCACUUUAGUACCCUAUGGUUUAAAGUGUAUCAAUUUAGUACUCUGUGGUUUCGCAUUUUCUCACUUUAGUACCCUGUGGUUUCGCACUUUCUCACUUUAGUACCCUGUGGUUUAAAAACCACAUGGUACUAACUUGAUAAAAAAAAUAAAACCACAGGGUACUAACUUGAUAUAAAAACAAAACCACAGGGUACUAACUUGAUACACUUUAAACCACAGGGUACUAAAGUGAGAAAGUGCGAAACCACAGGAUACUAACUUGAUACACUUUAAACCAUAGGGUACUAAAAUGAAAAAGUGCGAAACCACAGGGGGGGUUUUUGAAGUUUUCCCUAUUCUUAUUUACAAUUCCUUUCCCAUUCAACGUAGAACUAUUGGGGCAUGACAUAAAGCGCAUAUGAAUAAAACUUUGCAACCCUCUCUUAUUAGAUGGUCUUAAAAAAAGAGUCUUAGUUUCUCUAUCUCUCUAUCAGUUUUUCCUUUCCUCUUUUUUCUCAUUAAAUAUUAGCAGCCUCUCCUUUUUCUCUUAAUUUUUCAUUCAUGUUUCCACUGCAAUUACUUAAAUUUGUUCACUCAUUCACAAUGUACAACCAUUCCAUCACCCUCCCCCAUUCUCCCUAGCCAAUAAUCGGUUCCUACUUCGGAAAAAUGCUAUCAAAAUAUCCUAUAUGAGAAUUUUGAAAAAAAUUACUACAGAAAGAGACAAUUUUUUCCGAGCAGCAUUUGCAACUCUUUCUUACUUCCACUGCAAGUCUCAAAAAAGAUGCCAACUUCACGAAACUUAUCAUCUAUAACUUCCAAAUUCAACUUGUGUGUUUUAUAAUCCUUUCAUAUUCCACCUUUUCUAGCAACUCCACAAGUGCAUAUCAACAUUCUCGUAUUGGCGACACUCAAUUUGCACACACAAACUGACCUCGAAAUCCUCAGCAUCCUCGAUGUUCGACCGAGCCCGAUCACCAACCACCGCUAGUGAAACAGUAAACGGAGGAGCAAACAAACAUCUUAAAGAGUGAUCAAUGUAUGUUAUGUUGCAGCAAUUACGUAAUACAAAAUAAUUAAAGCAACGAUCACAAGGUCCUAAACCCUAAGUCUUAAACCCUAAAUUACUCUAUUCAAGAAGAGGAACACUAUAAAACCCUCACCAAAUUGUGAGAAAAACCCCACAAAACCCCACAAAAAAAAACAAACGUAAGAACGCAUCAAAACAUCGUUCAAGUUCAUUAUCUGCACUCUUUUGAAUCAAAACCCUAGAAAACUUCUCCUUUAUCACAUUUUCCAAGGGGAAAAAAAAAACCUAGAAAUUUUCUGGAAAUAAAAAAAAAAGUGAAACCCAAAAGUGUCCUUUAAUCGCCUCAAUAAAAAAUAAAAAAUAAUUAGUGUAAGUAAAAAAUAAUGAGAGAAAUGGAUAGCGUGCUAUCUUUUUUUUUAAAUAAAAAAUAAAAAAUAAAGAAGUAAAAUCCAAACUCAAAACACAAAACAGGAUAAAUAAGAAAGAGAUUAAAAAGAAGAAGAAAAAGGAGAGAUGUAGAUUAAGAAAAUAUAUAAAAAUACCUAGAACGAAUUGAAUCGGAGACGAGGGCUUCGCUUCUCUUUUUUUUUUUUUUGAACUAUUACAACAGUUUAUAGUAAAUAGUGGAGACGCGGGAUGAUGAUAGGAGCAGUGAAUUUACUAUUUUACCCUCGCGUCGAGCCUAUAAUUACGAGAAAAACCACGCCGGGGCCCACACAAUUGGCCCCACCGACCCCACAAAAUCGAAUCACCGAAGAGGCUGCGCUCCCGUCCGCAUAGAAGGUUUUGUAGGACGAUGAAACGGAGGGCGUCGUACGAAAUCACGAUGAUCGGACGGUGGAUAUUGCGUGCGCGUAGAGAGAAGUGUAUGCGCGCGUGCGUUUUAAGGGAUUACUUGAUUUCGUUUUGUAUGCGGGUCUUUUCAUGUUGAAAAUCAUUUUUCAUAGUUUAUAAAUUUUAAAAAUAUAUAUAAUAUAAAAUAUGCACAAAAAGAUUUAGGGCUUUUUUUGCAAAUAGCCCCCUGAAAAAUUUUAUUUGCGCAAAUAGUCCCAUCUAAAAAUUAUUUGCAAAAAUGGCCCUGACCCUGCCACGCCAGCGCCACGUCAGCGCCACGCGGGCAGGGCCUGGGCCAGGUGGCUAAGUUGAACACGGCAAUUGGUUCACCGUGUUUAGACAGGGUGAACCAAUCACCGUGUUCAUUGUGUUAUCCCGCCCGCGGCGGGGUGUUAGUAUGACAUUAGACACGGUGAUUCGUUCACCGUGUCUAAACACGGUGAACUGUUCACUGCGUUUAGACACGGUUAACCAUUCACCGUGUCUAAUUUAUCACACAACCUCACGCGGGUGCGAGGUAAUGCAUAGAACACGGCGGCGGGGUAAUGUAUAGAACACGGCGAUUGGUUCUGUAAUGCAUUGCACCGUGUCUGAACACGGUGAUUGGUUCACCGCGUUUAGACACGGUGAACCAUUCACCGUGUUCUUUUUGAACACAACCCCCUCCCCCCGAACUCUGUGUGUCUCGAUCUCUCUCUCUCUCUCUCGAUUUCUCUCUCUCUCGCUCUCUUCCUCUUCCUCUUGCUCUCUCUCGCUCUCUCUGGCCGACGCCGCCGCCGACGCCGCCGCCGACGCCGCCGCCGCCCCGCCCUUUGUUGCCCGAGGUAGCUUCCUUCCUCGUUCUCUCUAGCGCUAGAGUAUUUUAGCUCAACUCUCUCUCUCUCUCUCUCUCUCUCUCUCUCGCUCGCUCCCUCUGUGGCCNUGCACUCUCACAGUGGCUUCUCACAGUGAGAAGCAUUUCCACUGGCAACCCCCCCCCUCUUUCACUGAUUGGUCUCGGUUUCUUUGUCACAGAUCAUUCAUGCGUUCUUAAUUGGCAAAGUAGUCGCGCCGACCGUGCUUGUACAAAGAUAAUACCAUCUUUUUACCCUCUCUUUUGUUAUAUGUUAGAAAUGUGAUAUGUCUUAAGUUUAAUAAUUUUUUACAUGUUAAUAUAUUACUUUAGAACUCUAUAUCUGGCGACAUUGUUCCUUUCUAUAUCCAUUGGGACGGAAAUUUUGUCGAGAACAAUAAUGUACCACGAUAUAUUGGUGGCCGUAAAGAAUUGGUUGCGGUCCGACGCAAUAUCUCAUUUCGGGAUUUAGAGAUGGAAAUAUACAAUGUUACUAAUUAUGAUCGAGUGGAAGACCGUCUACGCAUCACGGUGAAAUGUCCAAUGGGAGGCGAAUGGGAAUUUGUUAACGUAUCAAAUGACAAUACACUAUCUGGCGUGAUGAGUAUAUUUCCGUUCCAUGGAUGUAUAAAAUUAUACGUGGAGAAAGAUGGGUCGACGGCACACGACCGUCCAAAUACCGUUUAUCAAACGGAAAUGUGUCGUACCCGCAAUGAUCAAAGGAAUUACGUCAAUCGCGAACGAGGUCGUACAUCAAGGUAUAAAGUAAUGAUCUUUAUAAAUCUUUUUCGUGAUUUCUCAAUUAGUUUAGGUGCGCGAAAUUAAUAACUUUGUCUUGUAAGUGUUUCAGAGAGUUUGGAGUUCCAUCUCAGCCAGUUAGUGCAGCAUUGCCAUCUGCUGUGAUGGAUCCGUCUCCGUUGGUUGAUCAAAAUGAGUGGUAGGUGAUUGUAUGAUUUAGUUACGUAAAAAAUCAAUGUGAAUAGUUAAUCUUAUAUAUCUCUACAGGUCUACUGUCCCUCCUUAUCAAAGUCCACGACCAUCAUCUUAUGUUCACGAAUGGACGGAUUGGGAAGUCAGAACCACUAUCCCUCCUUAUCAAAAUGAAGGUCCAUCAUGUAGUGUUCAUCAAUGGCCGGCUUGGGAAGAAAGAAAUACUAGCCCUCCCUAUGUAGAUGAAGGUCCAGGAUCAUCUAGUGUUCAUGAAUGGCCGGCUUGGGAAGUAAGAAAUACUAACCCUCCUUAUGUAGAUGAAGGUCCAGGACCAUCUAGUAUUCAUCAAUGGUCGGCUUGGCCAGUAAGAAAUACUAUCCCUCCUUAUCAAAAUGAAGAUCCAUCAUGUACUCAUCGUGAAUGGACCAAUCGGGGAGUGACUACAACUGAUCUAUUGGACGUAAGUAGAAGUGAUGAGGAGUAUGUUAGUGAAACUGAUGAAGAGGAUCAAGGGCGAAUUGAUGCUGAUUCUAGUGAUGACGAGGAGUCCUUUGUUGCGUGUUCUUUGGAUCCUGAUCAUGACGGUGGCUUGAAUGCCCUCGCAUGCGCCAUUCGAGAUGAAGGUGUUGAAUGGAUUGAAAACUCAAAUGCCAACAACGAAGAUGUACCGGACCCGGUGGAAUUCGUGGAAUUUGAAGAUCAACGACAACGGUUUGUCCUGGGUAAUGAAUUAAUUAAUCAAAGCGUUGUUGAUGCAUAUAGUGAACAAAAUAUUGAUCAGGGUCCUCCAAGUGAUGAAGCAUGGGCUAAUCGGACUUUUUCUGAUAAAUCAUCGCUAGUAAGGGCCUUGGACGCUUGGCACAUUGCACAUAAUGUGCAGCUUAAAGUUGUUAAGUCAAAUACAACUAGAUAUACUGUGCGAUGUGUGGUCGAUUCUUGCCCUUGGAGAUUACAUGCCUCUCAACCGAAAGGUAGUUCAUUUUUUAAAGUAAAGACUUAUAAAGGUCCGCACACUUGUUUGGUUCCAAUUCUAAAUACAAGACAUCGAAACUGCACAUCAUCUUUCAUAUGUCAAUUUAUACUACCUACACUGAAGGCAAGGCUUACAAUGAGUCCGAUGGAAAUUCAAGCUCGAGUUCAGAGCGAGUUACACGUUAGCAUAUCAUAUAGCAAGGCUUGGCGGGCACAGAAUAAAGCACUACAAAUUAUAUACGGUAGUUGGGAGCAAUCAUACUGCGACCUUCCUCGAUACUUCUCUAUGUUGGAAUCAACAAAUCCAGGAACUAUUACAAAGAUUGAGUAUAUUAGUGUGGCGAGCAAUACGAGAAUGUUUUCACGAGCCUUUUGGGCUUUUGGACCGUCGAUUCAUGGUUGGGAGUAUUGCCGGCCAUUACUUAGUAUCGAUGCUACUCAUCUGUAUGGGAAAUACGGAGGCCACGCAUUAAUUGCCACAGGUGUCGAUGCGAAUGGUGGUUUAUUUCCGCUAGCUUUCGCAAUUUGUGAGGGGGAGAAUGGCUCGAGUUGGGAGUGGUUUUUAAGUUGCCUAAGAAGGUAUAUAACAAGAUCUCGAGUUAUUACACUAAUUUCAGAUCGUUUUAAAGGCCUAGCGAACCUCGUUGCACUUGUAUUCCCACCAUCUGAAGGUCAUGCGCAUCGAUGGUGUUUACGACAUAUGAAGGCCAAUAUGAAUAUUCAUUUCAAAGAAAAACACUUACUUAAAAUUUUUUAUCGAAUUGGGAGUGCUUCAGAAGAACGGCAAUAUUACGCAUUAAAGGAAGAAUUGAAGGCUAUGGAUGAAGAAGCUUGGCGUUGGGUUCACAAUCUUCAUAACGAUAGGACAUACUGGGCUAAAGCUUUUGAUGGUGGUCGAUGAUUUGGUAUUAUGACAACUAACCGAUCGGAAAGUUUAAAUGGGGUGUUGAGGAGAGUUCGCGCCUUACCAAUUACAACUUUUGUGAUGGCAACAUUUCAUCAAGUGGUAGAAUUCUUUCUAAAACAUCGAGGGGAGGGCGCUGCAAUGUCUACGCAAUUUGUAUCGAAUGUUGAAAACACCAUCAAUAGCCGGAUGAGAAGUGCUAGAGCAUAUACAGUUCGACGAUUUGCAUUUCACAUGUUCGACAUACUUACUGGGGGUGAUGAUCAAUACCAAGUGAUUAUCAAUGGAAGCAGUUCUACAUGUUCAUGUUUGUGUUUGCAACUCACAGGAAUCCCUUGUUCACACAUUUUGUCAUGUUGUAGUUCAUCACACAUGAACAUAGAUUAUUAUGGCUUAUGUUCUCCUUGGUAUACUGUCGCAUCAUAUUGUAAGACUUAUGAACCGCAGUUCAACCCCGUACCCGAUCGCCGUUAUUGGAUCGUGUCAUAUGAUUCCCCUAUAGUGCCACCACACGGGAGAAGAAAAAAGGGACGACCCAGAUUUACGCGUAUCCGUAAUGUUAUGGAUGAAGCCAGUGGGAAUAGGAAGGGCAAGUGUAGUAUGUGUAAACAGUCUGGACAUUAUAAAAGCACUUGUCCUGAAAAUCAGCAAAGAAGAACCGAGAGGCGUCGUCGAUAGGUUUUUCUAUAUGAAUAUGACACUUAACUUCUUUAAUCUUUUAUACUUAUGCACUAAUGUUACAUCAUGUUGUUUCUAACUCAGUUUUUUUUUUAAGCGAAUUUCAGAUGGACGAUCAUGACGAACCGGGACCUAUUGAUACAUCCGUGCUGACUGAGCAGCCACGACAUAGAUCUACAUUGAUCAGAGAGGAGGUGAAUUUUUUUAAAACAUUUCAAAUUUAUCUAGAUCUUCUUUAACUUAUGUACUAAUUUUGAGCUGGCUUUGACAAUCAUGCAGAGAUAUUCUCCUGUUCAAUUUACGGAGCAUGGCCGUAAAUUGAACAGAUGGCAGUGCGAGCAUCCUGCGGUGUUGGAAUUAUUGCGACGAGCAGGAUUUUAUUACGUUUCACGAUUGCGUCGCCUACAGCUCGAUCAGUCGUUAUUGGGAGCAUUAGUCGAGAGGUGGCCGCGAGAAACACAGAGUUUCCAUUUGCGACAUGAAGAGAUGAGUAUUACAUUGAUGGACGUCGCAGUUAUUACGGGACUCCCCGUCGAUGGUAGGGCUGUGACUGGAGGGGGAUCCUAUCAGUGGGCAGAGCUCUGCGGGUUACUUCUCGGGGUGGUUUCGCAGGAUAUUAAGGGUGGUGAGAUCAAGAUAGACUGGUUAUAUCAGCAGUUCCAUGAUAUCCCCUUAGACGCACCUCCUGCUAUUGUUAGAGCUACGGCGAGAGCAUAUAUACUAUUUCAGAUAGGUUGUAGUCUGUUUCGAAAUUCAAGCGGGAAUAGGGUGCAUUUGAAAUGGUUGCCACAUCUAGAGGAUUUUGACCUUUGUGGUGGGUUGGCAUGGGGUGCAGCCGCGCUAGCUCAUCUUUAUCACGCCCUAGAAAAUGCUUGCCUCAGGGGAAAGGUCGAGUAUUGUUGUUUUGGGACAUUAGUUCAGGUACAAUUUGCGACACGGACCCUUACUAUACUUCUACUUAAGUCAUGGUUAUUCUUUCCAUUUCUAACAAGAAUGUUAUUUUUAUAUAGAUAUGGGCAUUGGAUCACCUGCACAUAGGCCGCCCUGAGGUAGUAGGACCACAGCCUACGCUUGUCGACAUGCCUCUGGGGUGUCGGUAAGUAAUUUUUCAUUUUAAGUUUUGUAUAUAUUAUUUAUUCAUAACUAAUAUGAUAUAAAUGAAUCAGGUGGAAUACCAGGCUGGUUUUUCGGGAUAAUGUCAGGACUACUGACAUUGAGUUUUAUCGUGAUCAGCUGGAUCAGCAGUUAGAGUCUCAGGUAAAUAAAAGUUACUCAAUCUGUCGAAUUUUGUAUCCAAUUUUAAGUUUUUGGGAUUGAAAUUUUGUUUUAGUUUGAAAAUUUUUUUCACCAUAAAAAGAAAUUAGUUGUUCGUAUGAAAAAAAAUUAGUUGUUAAUUAAAAUAAAACUACAAUAGUUACAUAUAUCAUGACUUAAGCUUGUAUCAAGGUUGUAUCAAGGCUUAGCUACAAUAGUUACAUAUAUCAGCAUUUGGGUUCACAAGCGUGGAGAACUAACUCUGAUUAUUAAUCAAAUGAUACCCCUCAUGACUUAAGCUUUAGUCAUAUAUCAAGCAGCGUAAGUAGUUCAUUUACAAUGUAGCGCCGAAAAACGAGAUCAAUAUAGUUUAAUUUUUCUUCGAAACACGAGUCGCAAUAUAGUUUAAUUUUGAUAACUAAUCAUAUUUAUUUUUCACAAAUAGAUUACAUGGAGGCCUUAUGACGACACUGUUUUAGAGACGCUCCCAUCUUUUUGUCUGGCCGGGUUCCACGUUUAGCAAUCGAGGACUAUCUUAGUCUGCUUCCACAUUAUUGAGCUCCAUCAUCCCGAUCGUGUGCUGCGACAGUUUGGGCUAUUACAGCAUAUACCUGAUGCAGUACUUGUCAUACCUCGCAUCAAUUCACAAGGUAGAGCAGAUGAGGAUUGGGCGGCAUACGACACUUCAUACAUUCAGCGUUGGAAUGGUAGUUUGAUAGAUAUAGUAGAGGUGGCCCCAGAGAUAGAUCCAGAUCCGAUACGAGCUACCGCUGUUUAUAUGCAGUAGUAUUGGACGAUAACUAGGAGGUGGAUCUCUACACCUGUACAGCGGCCACCACUCGCGUAUCGGCCACGUGGGCACGUCGAGAGAGUAUUGGUAUGAUUGUAAUAUAUAAUAUCUUUUUAUAUUAAUUUUUAUAUAUACAAGAAAAUUUCGUAUAAUCUUUUUUUAUUGUGCUUUUAUUUCAGGUCGAUAUCGUGCAGAGAUCAUAUUAUACGAUCAGACAUGUCCUGCCCGAUAUUUCAGGAGGUGGAGUCUUAACUACCCUAUCACAGGUCGCCGAUCAGAUGGAAGCAGUUUUGGAGACUUUACCUACGCUUCCACACUAUGUACCUCCAGGACCAGCAGACUAUGGUAGAGCAUCGACGUCGUCCGGCCAUGCACCCGUAUAUAGUCCACCGAGGCCAUCAUCACCUAUAGAGGAGCCACCAGCACCAGUACCGCAGGAUCCAGCUCGAGCAGGUGAUAUUGUUUAUUUUAGGCGUCGACGGCGAUCGAGGUCUAUCCGUACAGAUCAGCCCUCCUUUUCAGCUCCUCCACGGCCAGAUCAGCCCUCAUUUUCAGCUCCUCCACGGCCGGUUAUUGAGGGUGCUGCUAUAGAGCAUCUAGACAAGUUGGAGAUCUUGGAGCCUUUUGAUGAGCAUGAUGUUGGUCGUGGUCGCGGACGUGGUAGGCGACGUGGUCGAGGAGGUCGAGGGAGGAGAACAUGAUAUUAUAUUUAUAUAUUAUUGUAUAACUUGCAUUUAUUUUGUAUAUUCUGUUUUGAUUAUUUGGUAUUGAUUAUAUUAUUGAGAUUCUAUUGAUUGUGAUGUUGUAAUGUGUAUUAAUUUUGUGAUGUUGUGAUGUGUAUUACUUUUGUGAUGUUGUGAUGUGUUGUGAUGUGUAUUGAUAAGUAUAUUUAUUAUAUUCUUGUAUUGAAUCUUGUAUUGAUUUUUGUGCGGCAAAAUUUUUGCCGGGGCGGGUAGUUGUAUUGGACACGGUGAAUGGAUCACCGUGUCAAAUGCAUUUGUAUUGGACACGGUGAUCCAUUCACCGUGUCCAAUGCAUUUGUAUUGGACACGGUGAUCCAUUCACCGUGUCCUAUACAACCCUAUACCCUGAAAAUGGCUAAGUCUUGUAAAUCCUAAACCUUCGAAAAUGGCUAAGUCUAAGCCGUAUUUGGCCAAAUAUGGAAGUAAAGGACACGGUGAUUAGUUCACCGUGUCUAAACGCGGUGAACAGUUCACCAUGUUUAGACACGGUGAACCAUUCACCGUGUCUAAUGUAUUGUCGCAACCCUACCGCGGGUGGGAGUAAUACAAUGAACACGGUGAUUGGUUCACCGUGUCUAAACACGGUGAACGAAUCGCCGUGUUCAAUUUAACCACCUGGCCCCCGCCCUGCCCGCGUGGCGCUGACGUGGCGCUGGCGUGGCAGGGCCAGGGCUAUUUUUGCAAAUAAUUUUUGGACGGGGCUAUUUUCGCAAAUAAAAUUUGUCAGGGGGCUAUUUGCAAAAAAGGCCCAAAGAUUUACUAUUUUUCAAUCCAAAAAAAGAGAAAAUAAGAUUUACUAUUUAUCUUAAAAAUUGGACGAAUUUGAGUGGUCGUUCUCGUCGCAGUAACUUGCAACUUUGAAAGAUCUCAAUAUAAAAUUAUUUAUGAAAUCGUAGCAUUAUAUAUACUAUUUUAGAGUAUAAUACUUAGUGUUGAUAACAAAAUAAUACAGUUUUUUUAUUCGGUAGUAUUAUACUUUCUCCAUCUGCCGCCUUUUAAAAGUUCUUGGAGUCAUGUCGGCUCCCUCCUUACCUCUCAGCGACCUUUUGCCCUCGUCUUAGGUGAUAAAGAAGACGAAAUUCAGGACACCGUCGAAGAGGUUGAUGUGCCAUGAAUCGAAGGGCGCCGCCACCUCUUCCAGCACAGCAGUCGCAGUGACAGCGGUGGCGGAAAAGAAAGAUGAGAGGGCAAUGGCAAGACCAUGGGCUUGGCGGGACAUCCAAAGUGGAGCUCAGCACCAUAGCGGUGAGAUUGCUCACGCUUGAGCUACUCCUACGCCGCAACUUCAUUGUUAUAGUGGACUUUCUUGCGAUUCUUAUAUUUGUAGACAUUCUACCUCUUAUGAGGUAGGAUGUUGAGCCCCUAUCCUUCCAUCUCUCCGAUCUCAUCUUUUACAGACAUAAGGUAAAGGGCAACUGAUAAAAAAAAAAAAAAAACAAUAGAAGGUAAAGAGCAAUUUUUUGAAAAAAUAAAAGUAAAUACAAUUCUUAAGAAAAUAGAGAAAUGGCCCAUAUAAGACGAAAAGGCAAUUUGAUUUUAUAAGACGAAGAGGUAAUUAGAAAAAUCAAAAUAAAUGUAGCUUUUAAAAGAAUGAGAAAAAAAGAAAGUAAAUACAAUAGAAAACAAAGAACAAUUUUUUUAAAAAAAGAGUAAAUACAAUUCUUAAUAAAAAAAAAGGAAACGAUUCAUAUAAGAAGAAGCGGCAAUAAGAAAAAUCAAAAUAAAUGUAACUCUUAAAAGAAUGACAAAAACAUCUCAAAGAAGAUGAAGAGAGGGAGAGUAAAUGGGGCUAUGUAGAAAAGAAAGAAAAACAUCUUAAAGAAGAUGAAAAGAGAGUAGAUGGGCCUAUGUAAAAGAAAAAAAGAGAAAAAAUUUUAAAAAAAUAUGGUUACGCUACGGCAGCUAUAUAUAUUUAGAGAUUAAUAGAUAGGUAUAAAUAGAUAUUAAAUUUAAUUUUUUUAUAAUUGAAUUUUAGUUUGCAUAAGUGGCAUUUGGUUCGCGUAAAAUGAAUCGAAAAAUUAUUUUCGGUAUAAAAAAUAAUUUUUUAUUUAUUCGGUUUGAUGUAAAAAUAAAAUUUGUUAAAAUAUUUUUAUGGAUUUAGGAGAAAAUUGAAGUUCUCGUUUUCCGUUGUUUUUCGAUGGAAAACGAAAACUUAAGGUGCGUAAAAAAUUUUUCAUUUUUUUUUUUCACCAGACCAAAUAAAUGUGAUUUUUUUCCAACUAAAUAAAUAUUGAUAAAAAAACUAUUUUUUUUCUAUAAACCAAACACUAUAAAACAUAACAUUUUUCUUCCACCGAAAUUAUUUUUUACAAAAAAUUAUUUUUCAUAUUUUUACGUUGAACGGCCAAACGGACCCUUAACAAUUAUAUAACUUAAGUUAUCCCCGCUAUUCCACCAAACGGGAUCAUUUUUUACCGGAAUAUUUUAUUCCGGUCAAAGCUUGCUAUUCCCGGUUAUCUCGGAAUAGCAAGCUUUUUACUAUUCCACUAUUUUGGUGGAAUAGUGCUAUUCCUAUUCUUAAUUUCAAACUUAAUUAAAAUUAUAAAAUAAAUUAAAACUAAAUUAUAUAAAUAUAAUAUAUUAUAUAUUAUAAUACAUUAUUUUAUUAUAAAAUUAUUAAUUGUGCUAUAUUAAUACAUAUUAUUUAUAUUUAAAUAUUAUAAUAAAUUUUAUAAUAAAUUAUAUUUAAAUAUUAAAAUAAAUUAAAAUUUAAAAUUUAAAUAAAUUUAAAAUUUAAAAUAUUAUAAUAAAUUAUAUUUAAAAUUUAAAAUUUGUAAUCUCAAAAUUAAAGUUUAUAAUUUUAAAUUCCACAUUUUAAAUUUUAAAUUUAAAUUUUGAAAUUUUAAAUUUUUGAAAUUUUAAAUUUGAAUUUAUUUUUUUUUCAAAUUUAAAUUUGAUCUUAAAUUUAAAGUUAGAAAUUUAAAAUUUAAAUUUUGAAUUUAAAAUUUGAGAUUUUAAAUUUUAAAUUUUAAUUUCAAAAUUUGAAAUUUAAAAGUUAAAAUUUUAAAUUUUAAAAUAUAAAUAUAAAAUAUAAAAAUUUAAAUUCUAAUAUAAAUAAAAAAGUGAUAAUAUUAUUAAUUUUUAUUUAUAACUACCCACUUUAAAUCUUAUUCCAUCUUACCUCACCAAACGUUAUUUUUUUAUUCCCAGGAAUAACUCAAUUUUUAUCUAAACGCAAAAUUGAUCUAAUCCCCGCUUAUACCUCAAUUUAUACAUGUCUCUGGAAUACCCACUUUUUGCUUAUCCCCGAACCAAACGAUAACUAGAAGUAUAACAAAAUGAGAACAAAAAAUAUAUAUAAAAAACUGCUAGAUGUGCACUCUGUAGAGAUGAACACUUUACACCCUUGUAUUCAAUGAAUUAAAAGAUUCAUAAAAAAAGUUAAUAUAAUAGAUAAAUUACAGUCAUUGAAAGUCUAAUUCAUAUAUAAAUUUUGCACUUAUAUUUUAGAUGUACAAAUAAUAUUGUUCAAAAUAUAAUAAGAUUAUUGGGUUCAACCAAACCAACACCAGCCCAACGUAGGCUCGGAUCGGGUCUAUUAUAGCCUACACACAUAAAUAAAUAAAAGCAAAAAAAAAAAAAAGUAACAACAUUCAAAACUUAUCUCAACUAUAAAUUAUUUUGAAUUGAUUAUUAAAUCAUUCAAAAUUUUAGUUUUAUUAUCCAACAUCGCAGUUUAUUUGUUUUCAGCUAGUCAACGAAACUUUGAUUUUAAAAUUUAAGCUAAUUAUUUACUUUAAUAAAUUUAUACUUACGAAAAUUCUAUAAAGUAUAUUAACUAAAUUCUUAAAAAUAAGCAACGCAUAUAAAUUCUAAAACCGAAUUAUUAUUCAUCGAUUUAAAUCAAACAAAUUGAAAAUUUAAAUAAUAAAAUUAAAAUUUUUAAAAAAUUAUAUAGUCAAAUCAAAAUAAUUCAUAAUUUUUAUAUAUUCUAAACGUAUUUAUAAAGAUUAUACUCAUAUUUCGCUCUUUCUCUUCGAGAAAGUUUUCUAUAUUACACUUGCAUCACGUUAUUAGUAACAAACAAAUCAUAUCUCUUUUCUCGAAAAAAAAAAAUAUAAUAAAAAUAUUUUUUUUUAUUAAUAAUGACAGAUGAUUUUUUAAAAAAUAUUAAAAAUAUUAUAUUCAUGAUAUAACUAGUGCAUUUUAGAUUUUUUUCUCUAUCUCUGCUGCUGCGGGAUCUUUUCAGGAUGCCCCCAUCACAUCCCUCGGAUCCGAUCUGGCAUUCCCAGAUCUUGCUGGAUCUAAUAUAUAGUUUAAUCCCUUGCAGUCACAUCGAAGGAUCUUUUUUGCAUACAUGCUGUGUAACUCCAUAUAAAUUGUAAGUUACCGUUUGCUUCGGAUUAAGAAAAAACUAAUUAUUUCAGACUAUAAUUAAGUUCAAGGUUAAAAUAAAGUUAAAAUAUAUUUAUAUUUAGUUGGGGGUUGGAGUUAGUUCAGAAUAGUAAAAAAUAGUGUUUGGUUUGAGUAUAUGGGAUAAAAAAAAUAGUAGAUUAUUAUGAAUAAAAAAUAGUAUUUGAUUGUGGUUAGGUGGGAUUAGCUAAUUCGGAAUAGCUCAUUUGAGGUGGGAUUAGCUAACCCCACCCAUUUUUUGGGGUGUUUAGAAAUAAUAUGGAGAUUAAGGGGUUAUUCCACCCCUUAAUCCCCAGCCAAACAAAGGCUAAAGAGAUGCAUCAGGGCUGUUUUCCUUACCGAAGCUUGGUGGUUGAUACCGAAAGUUUCAAGUUAUCCUAGUAGAUUUAUAUUUCCAGCUAAAUUUAUUUCUAAAUGAAAUAAACGAAGCGAGUAGCGUGCUACCUAUCUCUCUCAAAAAAAAAGAAGAAGUCUGUUUUCCUUGUUUAAGGAUUCUUGUUAAAUUAGAGAGACGGUUUAAUUACAUAUAAUUAUAAGAAAAAACUUCAAAUACUAUUUCUAUGGUUUUAUUUUUUUUAUUUUAGUACCCUAUUAUUUAAAGUGCAUUAAUUUAAUAUCUUAUGGUUUCGCACAUUCUCACUUUAGUACCAUGUGAUUUAAAGUGCAUCAAUUUAAUACUAUGUGAUUUUAUUCUUUUCUUUUCAUCGGCUCCUCUGUGAAUAUUUCGUUAAAUUAUAUACAAAAAAACUUCAGAUACCCUACCUUGGUUUAUCGAAUAUUUACUUUAAUACCAUUUAGUUUUAAUUUUAUCGUUGCUUUUUUUUUUUCCUCCGUUAAUAUUUCGUUAACUUAUAUACAAAAAACUUUAGAUAUCUUAUCUAGAUUUAUCGAAUAUUCACUUUAGUACCCUUUAGUUUUAACUUUGUCACUGAUUUAACAAAAAAAAUAUGUAAAAUGAAUAAUAAAAAGAGAAAAAUAAAACCAUAGGAUACUAACUUGAUACAUUUUAACCACAGAAUACUAAAGUGAGAAAGUGCGAAACCACAUGAGCUAACUUGAUAUAUUUUAAACCACAAGGUACUAAAGUGAUAAAGUGUGAAACCACGGGGGAUACUUGAAGUUUACCCUAAUUAUAAAUACAAUAUAAAUAUAAUUAUAGAUACAUAUAAUUAAAAAUAUGUAAUUAUAAUUAUAUGUAUUUUAGCUGCGUGCGGUUUAAAGCAUUAUAUUUAUUUAUACACAAUUUGUUUAGCUACGUACGAUUGUGAAGUCCAUUUAUAAACGGCCAAUUUGCAUAAAAAAAUUUCAUUAAUUUUGAGCUUUUGUAAAAUAAUCUGUCUUUUUAAAUUUUGCAGAUUCGAACCGAAUUUUCAGAAAACUAACUAAAAUAUCAUUAUUUUCUUUUCUCUCUCGUGGAAGCAGAAGGGGAGGCUGAGGUGGCUCGCCCCGCCUUUGUUCCGCGCUCCCUCACCCUCGCCCUCGCCAGCCUGAUGGAAAAGGUGAUUGACAUCGAGGUCAGCCACCGAGUGGGCCGCCUCCGCCUCCGCUUCCGCUUCCACCGCCCUCUUUGGAGAGAGAAAAAGAAGGAGAGAGAAAAAAAAAAAGGAGAGAAAAGAGAAUUAGGUAUUUUGAUCAGUUUUCUGAAAAUUUGGUUCGAAUCUGCAAAAUCCAAAAAGGCGGCCUACUUUUACAAAAAUUGAAAAUUAAUAGAUUUUUUAUGCAAAUUGGCCUUUGUAAAAUUAAUUAUUCUAUAUAUGGAAGGUAAGAUUAGUCCAUACACAGGAAAAAAAAAAGUUAAAAAUUACUUUUAUUUUAAUUUUUGUUAUUGUUUGCCUAAAAAUAUUUUAAAAUAAUAAUAAAAAAUAUAGUGUAAGUGCUCUUGUCUAAUAAUAAUAUAAAAUGUUUAGAAAAUAUUACUUAGGAUUAAAUUGGUCUCCUCAGCAUAUAUUUCGACUUCACAAAUUGUUGAUCUUUGCUGGUGUUUAUUCAAAAAAAAAAAAAGAAGAAAAUUUUCAAUCUAAGCACAACAAUACGUUUCCACCAAGAAAUAAAAAAAUAAAAAACUGAAGAUUAAAGACCGAUGAUAUCACCCAUUACGUACAUUAUAAUAAUUAUAAAAAUGAGAAUCAUUUUUAUUUAAAAUCUUUUUUUUUUUCUGCAUGUUAGUUGGAGAUUUUUCUUAUUCUGUAAAUUUCAAGUGUUAUAUAUCUCAUCUUUCAAGCUGAAUUAGCUAUUUUUUAAAACUUAAUAUAUAUAUAUACACGAUAUUACGAUGUGAGUAAUAAUAAAAAGAAGAUAAAAGAUGAAGACCAAUGAUAUAUGUCACACCUUACGUUGGCUUCAAAGACAAAGUCACAAAUGUUGAUAGAGCUCUCUCUAAAAUAAAUAAAAUAAUUAAAAAGAGACCUCUUCGAUCGCCCAAACUCACGUCCUCUCCAAAAAUCAAAAUUGGAACGCCAAGUCGCCUACACGCCCAAGCAGCAUUAAUAAUUCCAAGGAUUUUGAAAUUUGCUGAUCCUUUUCUGAUUUUUAGUAAAUAAUAAUAAUAAUAAUAAUAAUAAUAAAACUAGUCAAAAAUAAUAUAUAUAUAUAUAGAGAAAGAGAGAGAGAGCUAGAUUGGUGUACUAUCGGUAGCACGAAAGCCUCCGUGCUACCAAGUUAUUUUCGAUGAUGCGGCUUCCAAAUCGACGAUUGGCUCUGUUAGACUUGAUCUACACAAUUAAAAGUAUUUGGAAACUAAAUUUCAUAAGUUUUCGGUAUUAUUUACCUAUCAAACACGCAAGUAGUCUAAAAAUGAACGUCUGAAAAUAAAAAUCUCAUAAAAAAUGAUGGUAAAAAAUUUGAAUUUAAAAUCAGAGGUACUGAUCUUACUCUAAAUAGUGAAAAGAAUUUUCUAUAAAAAUUUCAUCAGAUUUGGAUUGUUUUACACCGUUAAAUUCACAAACUCAUCACAUCUACCAUUAAAAUUGUCAAUUUUUGAGAUAUUUUUGAUCACUAGCCAAAUGAUGUUGAAAAAUUAUGAAAUUUAGUUUCCAAAUACUUUCAAUAGUGUAGAUCAAGUCUAUCGGAGCUGAUCGUCGAUUUGAAAGCCGCAUUAUUGAAAACAACUUGGUAGCACGGGGGGCCUCCGUGCUACCGAUAGUAUACCGGCUUAGCUCUCUCUCUCU